rnacentral:lncRNA from 1 species
AUCGUCACAGUGCGGCGCGCUUGGCUGCGGCUCGGGUCCGUCGAAGAUCAAGUCUCCGCGGACAUCGGCCGUGAAGUUUAAGCUUCCGAAUCUGACCUGACGGCCAGGGGCGUAGCUUUCGAUCUGCUCCAGAUGGCCAAGAGAAUUGGCCCGCAGUGCAAAGCCGCCGAAUACGAAGAUCUGUCCGGGGAGAAAAGUCUCACCCUGGACAGCGUUGAUGGUUGAAGAUGCCAUCGAGCCUAUCGGUGACGACACAGAGGAACUCUCAAUGAAAGCACCAAUGUCGGUGUCAAAACCGGCGGAUCUCGGGUAGGGGGUCCCGAACUGUGCAUCUAGGCGGAUGGUAACAAGAGACGAGGGACACAAUGUUUUUACCCAGGUUCGGGCCCUCUCGAUGGAGGUAAAACCCUACGUCCUGCUUGAUUAAUAUUGAUGAUGUGGGUAGUACAAGAGUAGAUCUACCACGAGAUCAAGGAGGCUAAACCCUAGAAGCUAGCAUAUGGUAUGAAUGUUGAGAUGUAUGUUCGUCCUACGGACUAAGGCCCUCCGGUUUAUAUAGACACCGGAGAGGCUAGGGUUACACAGAGUCGGUUACAAUGGUAGGAGAUCCACAUAUCCGUAUUGCCAAGCUUGCCUUCCACGCCAAGGAAAGUACCCUCCGGACACGAGCCGGAGUCUUCAAUCUUCUAUCUUCAUAGUCUUGGAGUCCGGCGGAUAAUGAUAGUCCGGCUGUCCGAACACCCCAUAGUCCAGGACUCCCUCAUCGGCCGUGCCAAGAAGCAACUCAAAGACAAGGAAGGUGAGUAACACCGUAUUAAAUUUGUACCUUACAGAAAUGGAUUUUGGUUGCAAGAGAAAUAACAAGGAUAACGUGGGUACUCCAGGGGCCACGAACAAGGUGGCGACCCUGAAGGAGGCCGUGUCCGCGGCCGAUCGCAAUGUGGCCGCGGAACGAGCCGAGCGAGAGAAGCAGGAGGCACAGGUGGCGGAGGUGCAGCAAGAGCUCCAGGCUCUCAUGGAAAAGCAUGAGAGUUUGGAGCGUGACUCGAAGACUCGAGAGUCCGAGCUUGCAUCGACUCUUGAGAGUGCCAAAGCCGCUAAGGCCGAAGCCCACAAGGCCCUCCAGGAAAUCGAGGCGGUGAAGAAAAUAGCGGCGGGUAAGGCAUUUUUCAUGCAAUGCAAGCAUGUGAAUGUGAAUUACCUGUUACUUACCCGAAUUCGGAGCUCUCCAGGAGCGUUCGUAGAUCUGCCUCGUAGCGUGUCCGAUGCUGCUGCUUUCUACCGGGCCGAGGAGGGGAGCUCGACGGAGAAGGUCUUCUGGUCUCAGUAUGCUGAGGCCGGACAUCCGGUGCCCCUUAGCGACCAGCUAAAGCAGCUGGUCGAGCUCCACAAGGUAGCUGAACAGGCCAUGAAGGGCCUCAUAGUUUGGCUGUGGCCCAAGGAGGCCAUGCCUGGGAGCUACUUCGGCCUGGUGCGGCGGCUGGUCGAUGCGUGUCCCUGGGUGGAGGUCGUCAAGCACUCCGCCUGCAUUAAAGGUGCCCGUCGGGCCCUUGCCCGUGCAAAAGUGCACUGGGGCAGGAUGGACGCUGAGAAGCUUCUGACGGACGCGCCGCCAGCGGGCAAGGAGUAUCGCACGCCCGAAAUGUAUUAUAAGAGUGUCCUGAAGGGUGCCCGCAUGAUUGCGGAUGAGUGCUCCAAAGAUGUAAUAUUUGAGUAGAAUUGCAUUAUGUUAUCCUGUGCGCUGAUAACUGUGUUCAUAUGCGCUAAGCAAUGCUUAUUAAUUUAAAAUAUUACUUUCUGUGCGGCCGUUUAUCAAAUCUGAGAGAUGGCAAGUCGUUGGCUUCAGCCCCCAUGCCACGAGUGCUGGGGUGUUCGGGAUAAACUUGAGCGCUCUUGUUCCCGUUGUUGGGUCCAUCUAGGGAGGCGCUCAACACAACGAACGAGGCAACUGGACUUAUAAUGCUUGAACACUCUCACUUAGCCAUAGAAUUCUAUACUUUUAAAUUUCGGUGAAGCCCCUAGUGUUCGAAAGACCGAGUUCGGGGCGCUAUCCACGCCUGGGCCGGACAAAAGCCGGUUCCUCGCUCUAAGUGGCAUAAGUCUUUAGGGACUCAAAAAAACCUCUCGAACAGCGACCAACUCUCGCCUUAUCAUGAUGGUCAGUUUUAGCUUUCUCCACUAAGGCGCUCGCCCAGCUCAACCGGGGCACAAUCGCAGUGGUUCUCCCAGUGCUACCUUAGCCGAUACAACGGAACGUAAGGUACCAAAACAUGGGAGCCGGGCAAACCCAACUAUUGACCCAAGACAUGAUUCGGAGCCGAUGCAUAUAAUGCUAUAAGUUCGGGGUGCCGCACUUGUGAAAGUGUUUGGACUUAUCACACCAUAAUGUGGGGAACUUAAGCCCCUGGUGUAUUUAGCCGUACCAAGGUGUACGGAUGCAACAUGUCAUAAACGAACAUAUAUAAGAAAUAAAUGCAGUUAUAAGAAAAAAGCGAUGCAUUGUUUGUUCCAGAAAUACUGCCAUGAAUGCAGAAUGAUACAAAUAGUGCGGUAAGCAAGGGAUUGGACUAUUAAACAUGUCCCCCUCCAGGGGUAGGCUGCGGAAUGGUGUAUUAAACAGAUUUAAUGCUCAUAAUGGAGACCACCUGAGUGUUCGCAGUAGCCUUUCUCCUUCCCUGGCUGUUGCAUCGUGAGUUCGGCAGGUCGACUGCCGGACAGGGCCUCUGGUGAACGUAGUCCUGUGGGUAAGAAAAAAGAAAAAAGAAAAAGAGCGACACACUUGGGAGCCCCUGGUGUGGUUGAUCCGCACUCUCGGCCUGUCGUGGUCGUGCCCCUCCCCCUAUGCCCAUGGUAUCUCUAGAGCAUAAUGAUGUACGCGAAGGACCAGUCUUGCGAUUUUGCAGGGCCUGGGGUUGGAGCCACAUUGCUACGCGUGCUCGGAACGUGCCAGGUGGUCUUGUUGUAGGUUACUCCGGGCGCGUUUGGUCGUGUCCGGUCACUUAACGGCCGGACUCGAAAAUUGCCUGAAGAGGCUGCUCUGUACUUCUGCUGCGAGAGCCGCUGUGUGUUCCUCCGUUCGGAGGGAGCGUUCAGUGUUUCUGUUGACCGUGAUGACUCCUCGAGGGCCUGGCAUCUUGAGCUUGAGGUAUGCGUAAUGCGGCACCUCGUUGAACUUUGCAAACGCGGUUCGUCCGAGCAGAGCGUGAUAGCCGCUGCGGAACGGGACUAUGUCGAAGAUUAACUCCUCGCUUCGGAAGUUAUCCGGGGAUCCGAAGACCACUUCCAGUGUGACUGAGCCUGUACAAUUGGCCUCUACACCUGGUAUGACGCCUUUGAAGGUCAUCUUUGUAGGUUUAAUCCUUGAGGGGUCUAUGCCCAUCUUGCGCACUGUAUCCUGAUAAAGCAGGUUCAGGCUGCUGCCACCGUCCAUCAGGACUCUGGUGAGGUGAAAUCCAUCGACGAUUGGGUCUAAAACCAAUGCGGCGAAUCCGCCAUGGCGGAUACUGGUGGGGUGGUCCCUUCGAUCAAAGGUGAUCGGGCAAGAGGACCAUGGGUGGAACUUCGGGGCGACUGGCUCCAUCGCAUAUACAUCCCUAAGUGCAUGCUUCCGCUCCCUCUUGGGUAUGUGGGUUGCGUAUAUCAUGUUUACCGUCCACACUUGUGGGGGGAAACCUUUCUGUCCUCUAUUGUUCGGUGGCCGGGUCUCUUCCUCGUCAUUGUUAUGCAGCCUCUUGUCAUUGUUUUUGGAAAUUAGCUUGCCUGCCUGCUUAAAUACCCAACAAUCCAUGUUGGUGUGAUUAGCUGGCUUUUCAGGGGUGCCAUGUAUCUGGCAAGAGCGGUUGAGUAUUCGGUCCAAAUUGGACGGGCCCGGAGUAGUUCUUUUGAAUGGCUUUUUCCGCUGACCAGGUUUAGAGCCUCUGAAUCCGGCGUUUACUACCGUAUCCUCAGUGUUAUCGCUGUUAACGCGACGCUUGUUUUUGUUUCGACACGACCUGCCAUUGCGGUCCUUGGUAUCCGGACUACCAGAAUUUUUGCUGAGGUUGUUACUGCGGGCUAGCCAGCUGUCCUGUCCUAGGUGCCUGGACAGCCACUCGUCGCGGAUGUUAUGUUUGAAGGCUGCGAGGGCCUCUGCAUCUGGACAGUCGACGAUUUGGUUUUUCUUUGUUAAGAACCGUGUCCAGAACUGUCUGGCCGAUUUGUCUGGCUGCUGAAUUAUGUGGCUUAGGUCAUCGGCGUUUGGUGGUCGCACAUAUGUGCCCUGGAAGUUGUCAAGGAAUGCGGCUUCCAGGUCUUCCCAACACCCAAUUGAUUCUGCUAGCAAGCUGUUAAGACAAUGCCGAGCUGGUCCUUUAAGCUUGAGUAGGAGAUAUUUGAUGGCGUGAAGAUCCUCACCGCGGGCCAUGUGGAUAUGAAGGAGAUAGUCUUCGAUCCAAACCGCAGGGUCUGUUGUGUCAUCGUAGGAUUUAAUGUUCACGGGUUUAAACCCUUCGGGGAUUUGAUGCUCCAUUUCUUCAUCUGUGAAGCAUAGUGGGUGUGCGGCGCCUCUAUAUUGGGCUAUAUCACGACGUAGCUCAAACGAGCUUUGUCUACUGUGUUCGGCCCGGUCGGACUUGCUUUGUCCGGCGCGACGGUUGUCGUCGCGUGCCAUGGGGCGCCCACGCGAUUCGUAGAUCAAUCUUGAUUGUCUUGCCUUAUCCUCCAAUAUAUCUUGCAAGUCCGGAGCAUUCCCCUGUGGCCUUGUGCUUUUCGAGCGAUGCCGGGGUACGGUUCUGAUGGAGGGCCUAAAGGCCUCUCUGUCGCGGCCACGAGGUGGUCGGUCAGGCGUAUUGUGCUCUGGUGAUGCAGGUUUAUAUGCCUCCUCCUCUAAUCGGGGGAGCAACUUGCGUUUGGAGUAGCUUUUGGAGGGGCGUUCGAGUUCAUACUCUUCGGCCGCAAGGACUUCAGUCCAUCUGUCGGCUAGCAGGUCUUGAUCAGCUCUAAGCUGUUGCUGCUUUUUCUUUAGGCUGUUCGCCGUGGCCAUAAUCCUGCGUUUGAAACGCUCUUGUUCGAUGGGAUCCUCGGGCACGACGAAUUCGUUGUCGUCGAGGCUUGCCUCGUCUCCGGAGGGAGGAAUGUAAUUAUCAUCCUCUACCUCUUCGUCUGCCGCUCUCUCAUGAGGGCUGGCUUCUCCGUCCUCCUAUGCUAAAUCUUGCUGGAGGGGGUUGUCUUCGGCGCUCUCUGGGGUGUUAUUAUCCCUGAUGCCGGAAUCUCCAUUCUUGCUGUGGCGGGAUUUAGAGCGGCGCCGCUGACGCCGGCGCUUGGGCUGUUUCUUGGAGGAAUCUGCCUCCGCUGCUUCUUCGCCAUUCCCAUCCUUUGGGAUGUCCACCAUGUAUAUGUCGUAUGACGAGGUGGUCUUCCAGUGUCCCAUAGGUGCUGGUUCUUGGUCGUCUCCCGCAUCGUCGUCCAUACCGUCGAUGUCUUCGGAGUCAUAGUCUAGCAUGUCGGUUAGAUCGUCGACAGUGGCUACAAAGUGGGUGGUGGGUGGGCUUUGAAUUUCUUCGUCGUCCGCAUCCCAACCAUCCUGACCGCAGUUCGGCCAGGGCUCUCCUAACAACGAGAGAUACUUUAGCGAAUUCAGAAUAUCGCCGAAAGGCGAGUGCUGAAAGAUGUCCAUGGUGGUGAACUCCAUGAUCGGCACCCAGUCGGAUUCGAUUGGUAGGGGCGCAAGAGGUUCGGAGUCCGGCGAGGAGUCCGGCACCUCAGAGUCACGAGCUUCACAAAGGACAAGGUCAGUAUUCGGCUCCAUCGCCGUAGAGGUUGCAGCCCCCGAGGCGGUGUCUAGCCACCCAUCCUCGAUCUGCUCGGUCGGCUCCGAAUUAAGGAUCGGAGCGGACUUAUGUGCGGCCUCCAGGGCACUGUCCGGCAGCAGAGCUAGAUCAUGCCCAUCGAGACAGUGCGGCGCACUCAUCUAUGGCUCGAAUCCAUCGAAGAUCAAGUCUCCGCGGAUGUCAGCCGUGAAGUUUAGGCUUCCAAAUCUGACCUGAUGGCCAGGGGCGUAGCUUUCGAUCUGCUCCAGAUGGCCAAGCGAAUUGGCCCGCAGAGCAAAGCCACCGAACACGAAGAUCUGUCCGGGGAGAAAAGUCUCACCCUGGACUGCGUCAUUGUUGAUGAUCGAAGGAGCCAUCAAGCCUAUCGGUGACGACACAGAGGAACUGUCAAUGAAAAUACCAAUGUCAGUGUCAAAACCGGUGGAUCUUAGGUAGGGGGUCCCGAUGUGCGUCUAGGCGGAUGGUAACAUGAGACAAGGGACACGAUGUUUUUACCCAGGUUCGGGCCCUCUCGAUGGAGGUGAAACCCUACUCCUGCUUGAUUGAUAUUGAUGAUAUGGGUAGUACAAGAGUGGAUCUACCACGAGAUCCAGGAGGCUAAACCCUAGAAGGUAGCCUAUGGUAUGAUUGUUGUAAUGGAUGUUCGUCCUACAGACUAAAACCCUCCAGUUUAUAUAGACACCAGAGAGGGCUAGGGUUACACAGAGUCGGUUACAAUGGUAGGAGAUCUACAUAUCCGUAUUGCCAAGCUUGCCUUCCACGCCAAGGAAAGUCCCAUCCGGACACGGGACGAAGUCUUCAAUCUUGUAUCUUCAUAGUCUUGGAGUCCGGCCGAUGAUUAUAGUUCGGCUAUCCGGACACCCCCUAGUCCAGGACUCCCUCACAUGCCACGGUUGCUUCGACACAUGCUAUAAGUACUGUUCACUCUGAACUUAACCGAAGAAACUGAACAUUACAGUCGAAACUGAAUUUUAAUGUCGAAACUGAUUGAACUAGUAGCAAAGCAUUGCAAUAGAUGUUUAGUGUGUUCAAGCACUAGUAGCAGAGAAGCAAUGAUCUAAAUCAGCAAACGCUCGAGCAGGGUACACACUAGCAGAGAGCAAAUCAUGCAGUAGUGUGAUGCCCGGAUAAUUAAGCUACAGUAAUCCUCCAUUAAUGGUGCCACGUCAUCACAUUACUGUUGCUAAUCCUCACUUGAUCCAAACCACUGUUUAUAUUCAAACUCAAAUUUAAAGUCAAAAUUCAAAUUUGCCAAACAUGAAAACUAAAAUGUUCAAAGUGUGGCAAAUAAUCCCUGGGUAUUUGUCUUGUUGGAACCAACCUCUUUUGGAUUUCGAAAGUGCCCCUGGAAAUCAUUUAGUGGUCCAACAUCAUAUUAAAUAACCUUUUCAAUCUCUAAAAAUGCUUGAACAAUUCCUUUGGCCCUGAAACUUUUUAGGCAACACCACUAUAUUGUGCCUGAACUAUUUGAUGAGUUUCACACUCGACAAAAAUCAUUUGAUGCCUUAUUUCUAUCCAAAACAGUAGCUAUCCUUUUGAUAAAAAAUUAAAGAAAUAAAAUUAUAGAAAAGGAACCCCCCCCCCUUUUUCCCACCGGGCCUCAACCCCGCCGGCCCACUCGGCCACCCCCCACAGGCCGGCCUACCCUGUUGCCUCCUUAUCCCCUCCCACUCCAGUAACCCUAGCCCGCUACACCCCACUCCACCAUGAUCCUCCUCGUUUCCCCACUCCCUCCCCACGAUUCUGGAUCAAGGCACAGCGCCUCNNNNNNNNNNNNNNNNNNNNNNNNNNNNNNNNNNNNNNNNNNNNNNNNNNNNNNNNNNNNNNNNNNNNNNNNNNNNNNNNNNNNNNNNNNNNNNNNNNNNNNNNNNNNNNNNNNNNNNNNNNNNNNNNNNNNNNNNNNNNNNNNNNNNNNNNNNNNNNNNNNNNNNNNNNNNNNNNNNNNNNNNNNNNNNNNNNNNNNNNNNNNNNNNNNNNNNNNNNNNNNNNNNNNNNNNNNNNNNNNNNNNNNNNNNNNNNNNNNNNNNNNNNNNNNNNNNNNNNNNNNNNNNNNNNNNNNNNNNNNNNNNNNNNNNNNNNNNNNNNNNNNNNNNNNNNNNNNNNNNNNNNNNNNNNNNNNNNNNNNNNNNNNNNNNNNNNNNNNNNNNNNNNNNNNNNNNNNNNNNNNNNNNNNNNNNNNNNNNNNNNNNNNNNNNNNNNNNNNNNNNNNNNNNNNNNNNNNNNNNNNNNNNNNNNNNNNNNNNNNNNNNNNNNNNNNNNNNNNNNNNNNNNNNNNNNNNNNNNNNNNNNNNNNNNNNNNNNNNNNNNNNNNNNNNNNNNNNNNNNNNNNNNNCCCGCUUCCGGUGCUCGCCCGUGUCGCGCCCCAGCGCCGCCCCACCGUGGCCUCGACGCUGCUGGGCAUAGCCCCAGUCGGCCGGCCUCGCCCCUCUGCCCCGACGGGUGCCGUCGCCCAUGCCCCAGCGCCCGUGAGCCCCUAUGGGCCACUGACCGUGGGGCCCAGCCCCUCUAAAAAGGGGGGGAAAUAAUUUUUUAAAAAAAAUAAAAAUAAAAAAUAAGAUUAAGUAAUUAGUUAACUAAUUAAUUAAUUAAUUAGGUAACUAAUUAACUUAAUUAACUCUGUUUAGUACCUAAUUAACUUGUUUAGUUAAUUAAAACUGUUAAUUAGUUGUUAGUCUAUGACAGAACGGCCGCAUAGGCCAGGGUUGACUUUGGUCAACUCUGUUGACUGCUGACGUCUAGAUGACAUGUGCAAUAACCCUAUUUUAGAUUUAAUAAUAAUUUUAGAAAAGGUUGAAACCUUUGAAAAAUAAUAUAAAAUAAACCGUAGCUCGGAUCGAAAAACUUUGUACAUGAAAGUUGCUCAGAACGACGAGACAAAUCCAAAUACGCUUCCCGUUCGUCCGCCACACGUCCCUAGCAUAGCGAACCUGCAAACUUUCCCCUCUUGUUCAUCUGUCUGAUAGACGUCCGGAACCGGGAAAACUUUCCCGGAUGUUUCCCCCUUGGCCAGUAAUGCCUAGCACCGCGUUAGAACACCUCCAGCAUCGCUUAUUGUCAUGUUAUGCAUAUGUUUGCGUGUAUUUACUGGUUAUUCCCCCUCUUCUCUCCGGUAGACCCCGAGACUGCCGCUGAUGCCGUUGUGAUCAACUACGUCAACGAUGACCCCUUCUUCUUGUCUGAGAAAUCAGGCAAGCCCCCCUUUGAUCAUCCCGAUAUCUCCCAUUCUAUACUCUCAUGCUUGCAUUAGAUUUUUCUAUUGUUAUUGUUUGCUCCUAUUCGGAUGCAUAGCCUGCUUUUGUACCUGCUUAUUGUUACCUAUUUCCUUAUCCUAAACUGCUUAGUAUAGGUUGGCUAGUGAUCCAUCAGUGACCCCCACUUGUCCUUGUUGCCCCUGCUUCAUCAUCGACGCCUCGAUCGACGUGAUCGACGACCAGAGCCUGGCACCUCACAUCACAUCAUGCCCCCCUUUUGUUGCUCGACUCUGCAGAGCUACUAUCGAGUGCCAAGGGUGAUCCCUCAUAACGCACUCCUGAUGAUAAUCCUGUAGUGUAGCUAUUCGGUCGUGGUCAUCGAGGGUGAUUUCCUCUUUCACCAUUCCCGAUACGGCUCUGUCGUUCAACACCUCAAGUGUGAACCUCGAGGGUGGUCCCUCUUACGUUCACCUUGAUGAUUACAUUGAGUGGAAUCCUCCGUGGGUGAUUCCACGGGUUUUCCCCUUGAUGUUUGGACACACGGUUACAUUGACUUUAUUCGAGACCUUGGUGAAAGUCGGGCGGGCCCGGAGAGCACCCGCAAGAUUAUGACGUGGCACGGCCAGGCAUUCUAGGCCCUUGUCGUAAGUCCACGAGACGGGGCGACGGGGUCACUUUCGAUCGUGAGUCUCUACUCGUCUCCGCAAGUUAAUAAUACACUAUGGUUUGGGUAUUUGUUCUGAGUUGGCCUCUGGCCUUUACGCACCAACCACCACGCGAGAAUAUUUAUGGGCCUCGGCAUCGUGGUAUCAGCCGAAGCUUUGUUAGACGUCCAGUUCAGUAGUGCGGCACGGCUGGGCCGGCACCAUCCUGUAGUGGUGGAGCCUGGACCCGCCCUGUACGCAACGAUCCGGAGUGCAACGGGCGAUGGGCCCAGACCCCGGAGUGCUUAGGAUGUAGACCGGCGGGGACCUCUCUGCUGAGCCUAGGUAGGGCUGGACGUGUUGAUAUUUCGAGGCCGAGCAUUGACCCCAGAAAGGUGUGUCCGGCCAAAGUGAUCGAGCGUGUUGGCAAAUGUGGUGCACCCCUGCAGGGAAGAUUAUCUAUUAAUAGCCGUGUCCACGGUAACGGACGUUUAGACUUAUAUCCUGAUCUUAUACAACUACAAAUGGAUACUUGAGAUAUGUGGCUCCGGGAUUUAUUUCUCGCAGGGAGUCGAGGAAGGAUGUCUGGGCAUUAAUGUUACAACAUGAUUGUUAAUUAUAAAAUGCUAUUCUUUACUCUUCUACAUGCUGCAAGAUGCUUGGAGCUGCUUGAAGAUGCUAGUCUUCGAUAGGCUAGGCCUUCUCCCUCUAUUAUUGCAUUUUGCAGUUCAGUCCACAGAUACAACCCUUCCAUUUGAUACCAAUGCAUACAUAGUAUAGAUCUGAUGCUUGCGAGUACUUCGGAUGAGUACUCACGGUUGCUUUGCUACCCCUUUUCCCCCUUCUUUCUUCUUUCCGGUUGAUGCAACCAGAUGGUGGAUCCUUGGAGCCAGAUGCCACCGCCGAUGGAUGCUACUACGUGGAGACCGCCGACGACCAGGAGUAGCUAGGAGGUACCAGGCAGGAGGCCUUGCCUCUUCGAUCGUGUUGCUUUUGUGCUAGCCUUCUUAAGGCAAAACUUGUUUAACUUACGUCUGUACUCAGAUAUUAUUGCUUCCGCUGACUCUUGUGUAUCGAGCUUGUAUUCGAGCCCUCGAGGCCCCUGGCUUGUAAUAUAAAGCUUGUAUUAUUUUAUUUGUGUCUAGAGUUGUGUUGUGAUAUCUUCCCGUGAGUCCCUGAACUUGAUCGUACACAUUUGCGUGUAUGAUUAGUGUACGGUCGAGUCGGGGGCGUCACAAGUAGCACCACGAGCGAGUGCUAAAUCAGCAACCCCUGUAGCUGCUGGAGAUCGUGCAUCAGCAGUAGCAACGUGAGAGAGAGCAAGAGCAAAGCAGCAGCACGAACGAGAGCAAGAGCGAUGCAGCAGCUUGACCGACAGCAAUAGUAGAGCAGAGUAGCAACACGAACGAAAGCAAGAAUAGUGCAGCAGCGCGACCGACAGCAAGAAUAGAGCCGCAGCACGAGCAAGAGCCAGAGCAGCUGCAGCUAGUGCCGGUGUGGAAGUCGAUGCCGAGGAAGCAACAUUAUGGGGGAGAGACGCCGUGGAUGAAGUGGCCAGCGACGGCGCCAUCGAUGGAGACCCACCAUGGCUGCUCGGUAUCGAGCACCGGCAGCCCCGUGAGGUCGACUAAAUAUGAAAUGAAGCAGUGAGUGCAGAACCUCCUUGGUGGCGCCGAGUUGGCCUCGGCUUCAUCAGAGGAAUUGGUGAGGGUGUUGUGGUUCUGGUGGGGCAGGUCAAGACGGUGUUGUGGGGCUGGAGGUGGCGCGAUAGACGAGGCAAACGUCAGGGCAGAUCCUUGGAAGCGGAGGAUGGGGCGGCUGAUCCGGCGGGACAACAAGAUCGACAAUGGAUCCUCAUCCGAUGCGGUAAUGAGGGACAUCAAGCUGUUACGGUGGACGACGUCGUCGGGGAAGAGUCUCCGGCUAGGCAGCAGUCGGGAGGCGGACGGAGGAGUGUGGGGUUUCGCGGGUUUUGGCGGCCUCAGUUUACGAAUGGUGUGAACGAAGGGGAAGGUAGGGGGAGCCAUGGCUUAGGGACGAGCUUGUCCGAAAUGUAGGUUAAGUUACCAACGUACCCCCACCGGUUUUGACAUUGCGACAUCGAGCCGGCAAUUCCGGCUUAGGGGUAGAAGGGGGAUUUUGCGUGUCUAGGCUGCGAGACCGAUUUUGGAUGAGGAGCGAGUUUUCGCGCGCGUCGAAAUUUCAGGACAACGAGGUGCGGCGCGGGUUGAAGAGGCGGGAGUUUCAAAGUAGGUGAGACAAAAGAUACUUGAGCUCGAAAAUUUCGGGAUAACUGUCGGCAUUCUGGAUAUGGGGGUAUCCAGACCUGCCUACCUGUGGCCCACCACUUCGCUCCAUCGACCGCCUGGUACAGCCCGGCUUCAGCACCAACAACUCAAGACCCUUGCUAGGGGCCAAGCCUCGCGAGGCGGAUGGCGCCAAGACCCCUAAGGGGAUCGACCUCUUCAGGCUGGCUCCCGAGGGGUGGAGAGUUCUAUGCAAGGUCUGCCUCACGCGGCUUAGCUGACAUGAGCCAUGACAACCAAGGCCAGGCAGGUGCCAGGCGGGCGCCAGCGGGCGUAGAGCGUAGGUUUCCUCUUCGGUGCAAGUGAGGCAAGCCGCAGGCGCGGAGUCCCGAGGAAUCAGCCAAAGUUUCCAUUCUGGUGCAACGAGACCAAGACCGCCAGGACGGCAGGACUGAGGUCAUCCCCGAGCCCACCGCAGCGUCACGACCAGGGGCUUUUUGCAGGCAAAGACUACUUUUGUCAGGAUAAGUUGUACUACUUGUCCCCUUUCAAAUCCGGCCGUUACUGGACCCCUUCCCGCCAACAUUGGGGAAGAGGACCAAGGCCACUAUAAAGAGGACUUAGCCACCACCAUAGAGAGCAUCUGAUUCACAUCCCCUCAGCUCUCUCAAGGUCAAGAACACCUCACCUCCUGAGGCUAGUUCAUCCCUGUACUAGUUCAUCCUCAUCCCUCCGAGGCAAUCCACCAAAAUGCUGGAUUAGGGUAUUACACCGCAAGGUGACCCGAACCUGGAUAAGCUGUUGCGUCUCUUUAUCCCUUCGAGCUUGUCGCGCUAGGCUUAGGAGGAUCGCGAGUAGGCAGGCUGGGUAGGUUGAGUUCUCCGCACGCACCCCAGAGUUCAAACCUUUCAAGGGUUUGCGGAACCCGUAAUUCGAUAUUUGGCGCACCAGGUAGGGGUGCGUCGGAUCUUCUCUUCUGCCGAUCGACCCACGGCCACUCCGACACCUCCAUGGCCGACGCACGCCGAACUCGCACCGAGCGCCGGGCCGCAGUCGCUCUUCGUGUUGCUCAGACGGCUCCGGAGGGUGAUGGUUGUGCUCGUCGUGCUCCGUCUCCAAUGGCCAACGCCGCCAUGGGCCCUGCCGGCUAUGAACAGCAAGCUUCUUAGCUGCAUCCGUCGGUGCACUGUGACGGGUGCACCGCUACUCCGUCACCAACUCCAGUAGCUUCGUCCUCCCACGAGCGUCACGUCCUGGUGGACGUGCAGGCCUCUCUGCUCAUGGCAUGGGAGCUCCUUCACUACCACCCGAUCGGCGACUUCUACGAGGAGUGGCUCGAGCGGAUCGCUGAGCUUGUCAGCGUGGCCGGGGGCUCCGCCGCCUCGCCCCGCUCACUGCCUCAGCAGCCACCUGCAGUGGGUGACAUGGCUCAUGGGGCUCUUCCACCACCUCCGGCCCAGGGCAUCAUUGUCGGUGUCAAAACCGGCGGAUCUCGGGUAGGGGGUCCUAAACUGUGCGUCUAGGCGGAUGGUAACAGGAGACGAGGGACAUGAUGUUUUUCCCAGGUUCGGGCCCUCUUGAUGGAGGUAAAACCCUACGUCCUGCUUGAUUAAUAUUGAUGAUAUGGGUAGUACGAGAGUGGAUCUACCACGAGAUCAAGGAGGCUAAACCCUAGAAGCUAGCCUAUGGUAUCAUUGUUGUAAUGUAUGUUGUGUCCUACGGACUAAAGCCCUCCGGUUUAUAUCGACACCGGAGGAGGCUAGGGUUACACAGAGUCGGUUACAAUGGUAGGAGAUCUACAUAUCCGUAUCACCAAGCUUGCCUUCGACGCCAAGGAAAGUCCCAUCCGGACACGGGACGGAGUCUUCAAUCUUGUAUCUUCGUAGUCUUGGAGUUCGGCGGACGAUGAUAGCCCGGCUGUCCGGACACCCCCUAGUCCAGGACUCCCUCAGUAGCCCCUGAACCAGGCUUCAACGACGAUUAGUCCGGCGCGCAUAAUGUUCGGCAUUGCAAGGCGGGUUCCUCCCUUGAAUAAUCCAGAGAAGAUCAUGAACACCAGGAUAGUGUCCGGCUCUGCAAAAUAAAUUCCACAUUCCACCGUAGAGAGAAUAAAAUGUACACCAGUUCAAUCUGCUGACGUAUUAUGCAGCGUGACAUCACACCGCUACCAGGCUUUUACUUGAAUCGUUAUUUACUAUACCACCUCAGCACGUUUAGCGAAGCGAUUUCCUUGGCACGUCUUGUCGAAGAAGAGAUCGUGUUCCCCCUAUUCCGGGAUUCUCAUCAAUACAUGCGUGGGUAACCCAACCGUUCCCGUCGCCACGCCUCCUCUAUCGAAGGUGAAUCCCAAACGGUUACGGAGACGGCUCUUGGUAUUUUUUCCUCUUUAUAAGAGGACCAAGGCUUGUCCUUGUUCUUCAAUCUCGCAUCGAAUCUCCUCCUCGCUCCCAGCUCCAACACCUAGAGCCUCAGAAUCGAGCGCUUCGGAUGCUCAACCAUGUCCGGCUCCAACCUCCAGGGCCGGUGGAUGCCCUCCUCCGUCACGGAGGAGGACAUAUUGAAGUUACGCGAGGCCAAGUACCUGGCCUACGAGGUUUCGCACAGGUUGCCCAUCCAAGGGCAGGCCGUGCCUGCCCCCGAGCCCGGUGAGUUCGUUGUCUUCGUAUCCCACCUCCGUCGGGGUUUAGGCUUCCCGACGGAUCCCUUCGUGAGAGGGCUCAUGUUCUACUAUGGGCUGGACUUUCACGACUUGGCUCCGGAGUCCAUCCUCCACAUCUCCGCAUUCAUUAUCGUCUGCGAAGCCUUCCUCCGUGUCACUCCCCACUUCGGCCUGUGGCUGAAGACCUUCAAUGUGGAGCCGAAGAUGAUCGGGGGGCGUCAAGCGGAGUGCGGCCGGGCGGCCAUAAGCAAAAAGGACGAUGCCCCAUGGCCUGAGGGUUCCUUCCAAGAGGAACUCGGACUGUGGCAACAGGAGUGGUUCUAUAUCACCGCUCCGAAGGGCAGCAAGCAAAAGCCGCCGCCUUCCUUCCGCCCGGGACCUCCAUGCCGACUGAUGUCAUGGGUCAACCAAGGGCUCAGUUGGGGUCCGUCCGAAGACGUGCCCUUAUUGCAGGGCCGGAUUCGAGACCUCCAGGCGAGGGAGAUCAAUCUGAUUGUGGUGAUGCAGGUUAUGUUAAUCAGGCAUCUUUUGCCCUGCAAACAUCGUCCUCUCCGUCUAUGGGAGUUCAACCCGGAGGGACCUCGGAUUCUCCAACACUUCAUGGGUGCGACACCCAUGGAGAUGUACAAGUUGUUCUUCGGACCGCAGGUGGCGUGUCCGGAAUUGGCCGAGGACGGAGGCCUAAGCCGCAAUCGCCCGGAUACUCAGGUAAAUAGCUCAGAGUCCGGAUGCCCUGUUUAUCUUCUUUUCUAGAGUUCGCCUCCUGACCCAUUGCUCUUCACAGGAGUGGGUAGCACAUUCGAGGCUGAUAAGGUGUCCGGCACAUGCGAUGGGGAAAGUAGAGGAGCUAUUAUUUCACCCAAAGGGGCGUCCGAAGAGAGGGGAAUCGAAAACCCCUCCUUCCAGGGGGAGAAGAGGACCGCCUCCGAAGAUCCGGAGGCCAAAGCCCCUAAGCAUGGGAAGAGAUCUUCACCGGGGGGUCCGGCGUCUGGAGAGAAUCCGGACGCACAAUCAUCGCCAAAGGAUCAGCCCUCCAGCGAGCCGUGAGUAUAAAAAGGGGAGUUAAUUAGUAAGGAAAUACCUCCAUUUGUGCUUCUAUGGGUAACCGAAAUAUUUAUCUUGCAGUUCGGAUCUGCAGCCUUCUCAGAUUACUUCAUCUUCGGGGGACCUUCUUCCGGAGAUGAUGGAGAGCGAAACGCCUCCGUCUGUAGCGCCGUCAGAUAAGGCAGGCGAGCCUGAAGUAUUGUCACGGAGGGUAUCCCCGAGUCCGGAGGGGCCAGAGAGUUCGGUACCCGCUAGUAUCCGGCCGGGAGAACUGAAGAAUCUGUUUGAGAGGGCGUCCAUCUCAGAAUAUCACCGUGCGUUGAUGCGUAUGGUGAUUGGAAGGAUUUCGUCCGCCGAAAGCGGAUUGCGCAAUGCCGCUAUGAGUUUGCUGGCGGGGUUCGAGGUACGCGAGAAUGACGCAUCUCUUUGUCUAUUGACAGUCUUGCACAUGAAAAUGCGCCCUGUAUAGAUAGUAGCCCCUGAGACUCGGUAGGUUGUCGAAAACGACAGCGUGCCGAGGAUCAAAAUCGAAAGUAAUGAAUUCCGCCGUUUCUAUGCAGGUGGCGGAUAGUCCGAGUGCUAGCCGGACUAGUGGGUUUGCCGAGUUAAAUCGGCAACUUGACGUGGCGGAUGCGGACAUCGCACUUGUCAACUGGCGACUUGACGAGUCGCAAGGUAAAUGAGUUCUUCGCAGUUGCUUUAUUAAGGGGGUCGAAGCCCUCCUCUGAUAAAUUAUAUGCUGUUGUACAGACGGUGCUGCUGCCGUGGAGAGCCUUCGGGCCGAACUUGCUCGAGCUAAGGAGCAAGCCCGAAGGAGUGACGCGGCUGCCUCGAGGGCGGCCGAGGAAUUGAAAGCCGAAAGGGCUGCGCACUGCCUAAGCAGGGCAGAGGUGGCCGAAUUGGCCAUGAAAGUAAAAGAUGCUGCCGACCGCAAUGAGGCUCUUGAAAAGGAGCGCUUAUCGGAGCGGGAAGACCUGAAGAAGGCCACCGCCGAAGCCAAGGAUGCCUGCUCUGCAAUGCGGGCUAUGAAGGAGGAACUACGCUAGGCCGGAGAUAUCGUAGCUGGCAAGCCUUUUCUGCUGCGUCGCCGGUUUAUGGAUCAAAAGUAUGCUCAAUUUGAGCGGCUGUGGAGUCCGGAGGAUCCGUAUAUGGACUUAGCUGCAAGUGCGGCUGAUGCCGUUGAGCACUUCCGGCGCCAGAAGGAUCACAAGACGGAAGAGCUAUAUUGGUCUCAAUUCCAUAGUCCGGAUCGCUCACUUCCGUUGACAGACCGGUUGGCCGAAUGGGCCGAGCUAAAUAGAUUGUCCGGACUUGCCAUGACUGACAUCGUGGCUCAUGUCUGGCCAGAGAGGCCCAAGGCGACGAGCUACUUCGGCUUACUGCAGCAAUUCCUUGGAGCGGUGCCGCAUAUAAAGGAGAUGAAGCGGUCGGCCUGCAUCGAGGGCGUGCGGAUGGCUCUUGCCCGUGUGAAGGCGCACUGUCCGGAGAUGGAUGCCACCGCUGUUGCUGCCCAGGGUUCGGAUGAAAGCCGGCUCCCCGCCGAGCACUAUUUCGGGGAAGUUAUGCGUGGCGCUCGUGUAAUAGAGUCACAGUGCUCGAAAAAUAUCACGUUCAAAUGAAUGUUUUAGCUUGUAAAACAAUGAUUAUGCUAUAACUGCUUUUUAUACUUGUGCGUCCCAAGUAGUAAAACUUCUCCUGUGCGGCCGUUUACGUAUACAUUUGUAUAACUUGAAAGAUUGCAGUCUUCGGCUUCAGCCCCCACGCACAAGGUGCGGGGGUGUUCGCAAAAAUAGCGCGUUUUCACACUUAAUCUGACGUCUCGGUCCUGUUUAAAGAGGUGGUAGUGUAGCGAACGAGGCAAUCCGGACUAUAAUGCUUUAUCACUUUCACUUAGCCAGUGGAGUUCGAGGGUGGGGCUACGAUAUAGCCCCUGGUGGCACCGCACUUCUCCGAAUUCGGGGCGCGUGUGUGCCUGACCGGGAAACGGUCCUUCGUCAAAGCGGGGAAUUCUAAACAUUCCGGUAGUCGAUCGAGUGGUUGACCAGUCUCUCGCUGUAUCAUGACAGUCAGUUUUCGGCUUUCUCUACUGAGGUGCUCGCCCAGCCGAACUGAGGCACAAUCGCAGUAGUUCUCAUGGUGCUGCGCUAGCCGAUGAUACGGAACGUAAGGCAGCAAAACACAGGAGCCGGGCAAACCCAACAUUUGACCAAAGACAUGAUUCGGAGCUGAUGCAUAUAAUGCCUAACUCGAGACGCCGAACACUCCCGAAGGUGUUCGGUCUUUAUAAUAAUGGGCAGAACAAUGCCCUAAGCCCCUAGUGUCCAGGUACGGGCGUGGUCUUCUGACGCGGCCGAUGCCAAAACGUCAGGCUCCGCUUUGGCUAUAGGAAGAAACCAAGGGAGAAUAACAACAAGAGACAGUAAAAAAGGUUUACGCAGGGUCUCAAUCUGAAAAGAAUCCUCACAACGGGUCCCUACUGCACGUCUGGCCUGUGUCUUCGUUGCGCCGUUAUCCUGGACGGGUACGCACGUUGUUCAUCUGAAAAAAGAGAGGAACGCUUAGUUUGAAAACAAUUCGUGCGAAAAUAUGUGUAAAAGAAGAAAUAUAAAUAAGUAAAGCGGGGUUUGUAUGAACCCGCGGUUGUUUGUGCGCGCAGCCCCCUGUGAAGAGGUAUGCGGCUAGGGAGCCCCUAGCCUGCUGAAGCCGGAUUCAUCUAUCCGAUUCCGGGGUCUUUAAGUGACCCUCGCACUGAAAUGACGCCACGCGGACCGGGCAUCUUGUGUGUAAGAGACGCGUAAUGCGGUAUGGCGUUGAAGCGGACAAAAGCCUUUCGUCCCAAGAGUGCUUGAUAUCCACUUUUAAAUGGGACGAUGUGAAAAAUUAUUUUUUUGCGUCGAAAAUUGUUCGGUGAUCCGAACACGACUUCUAGUAAUAUGGAGCCUGUGCACUUGGCGUAAGGGCCUAGCGUCACUCCUUUGAAGGAAGUGCGGCUGUGUCGAAUUUUUGUAGGGUCUAUCCCCAUCUUACGGAUUGUGUUUGAAUACAGCAGGUUUAAGUCGCUGCCUCCGUCCAUUAGGACGUUAGUAAAUUGUAAUCCGUCUAUUAUGGGAUUCAAUAUCAGGGGAGUCCGUCCCGCAUUUCGAACGCUUCUGGAAUAGUCCAGGUGGUCGAAAGUGAUUGGUUUUGAUAUCCAAUCUCUAUGGUCUGCUGGGUUGGACCGCGCGAAGCUCUUUUUAGAAAGUGCCGCACUAUUUUUCCGUAUUAUCACAUGAAGUGAGUUUACUGCUUUGACCCCUUGUGGGAAAGUCUUUUGUUUUCCGGUGCUCUGCUGGUGGGGUUUAUCGUCUUCGCUUGACACGUCGAGCCCCUUGUGUUCGGCGUUUAGUCGGCCGGACUGUUUAAAAACCCAACAAUCCCGAUGGGUAUGGUUUGCAGGCCUUCCGGGGGUACUAUGGAUUUGACAUAUCCGACCCAGAAUCUUAUUUACGUUGGAUAGAUCGUCGCUGUCAUCCUUAAGAGGCGUUGUUUUGUUGUUUGGCCGCGAGCGUUUGAAUCCGGCGUUGACUGCCGUGCUCUUUGGGCUUUUGUCUUUAUUCUGGCGCUGUUCUUUUCUGCGCCGUGAUUUUCCGUUUCCAUCCCUUAUCUCGGGUGUACUUGGGUCGCUGGCGCUGCAUCUUGCUAGCCAGCUGUCCUCUCCCGCACAGAAGCGGGUCAUGAGGCUUGUUAGUGCGGACAUUGUCCUCGGUUUCUCUUGACCAAGGUGCCUGGCAAACCAUUCGUCUCGGACAUUGUGCUUAAAAGCUGCUAAGGCUUCGGCGUCCGGACAGUCGACUAUUUGGUUCUUUUUGGUAAGAAACCUGUUCCAGAAUUUCCGCGCUGACUCUCCGGGCUAUUGAGUUAUAUGACUUAGAUCAUCUGCAUCCGGAGGGCGGACAUAAUUCCCUUAAAAAUUUGCUCUAAACGCUUCCUCGAGCUCUUCCCAACUUCCCACAGUAUUUUUUGGGAGGCCUUUGAGCCAAUGACGGGCUGGCCCUUUGAGCUUGAGGGGUAGGUAUUUUAUGGCAUGGAGAUCAUCUCCUCUGGUCAUGUGUAUAUGUAGUAUGUAAUCUUCUAUCCAGACUCCAGGGUCUGUUGUUCCAUCGUAAGCCUCUAUGUUUAUGGGUUUAAAUCCUGCUGGGAAUUCAUGGUCCACCACCUCAUUGGUGAAACAUAGUGGGUGUGCGGCGCCCCUGUAUUUGGGUGUGCCACUAUCUUCGGACACUUGACGUGUUGCCUUGCUUCCUGGGGCCCUCUUCUUUGGCCCGUAGGUGGACCUGGCUGGGCCAUCUGUCUUUCCAGGUUCAUUAGUUGGUUUAUGUGUGGCGCCGCUUUCAUAAUUUGACCUAUCAUCUAGCCGUCUAUCCAACCAGCCGGCCUCUUUAUUUUUUUGACGGUGGAGGCUCUAUGGCCUCCUCGUCGAAUUCUGGUAGCAGCUUGCGCUUCGGGUAGCUCUUGGAUUGGUGUCCAUUGCCGUAUUUAUCUGCGGUUUUGAGCACUUUGCUCCAUCUCAUUCUGAGUGUGUCUUCCACUGUUUUGAGCCUCCGCUUUUCCUUCUUCAGGCUUCUUGCAGUGCUGACGAGUCUUUUCCGAAGGUUCUUGCUCUCCGGUGGUGUGUCCGACAUGAGAUCGUCCGGACUGUCGUUUUCACCGGGCCUGGACUGAUUAUCUGACUCGUCAUGUUCGGAAGGUUGCUUAUCUGCAUGUUCAUCGUCCAUUUGUGAGCCCUGCUGUAUUACAGGCUCCUUUGGAGCGUUGUUGUCGUCGAGGCGGGACUUAGGGCGGCGUCUGCGCCACCAUUUUUGUUGUUUAUCGGCAGGGUUGUAAGUGCAUCUAUUGCCCCUUAGUGAUUUUGGUGUAUUGAAGACUUAUAGGUUAAGUAACUGAUGCGUUUGUGAGUGUACACAGCUCUAUAAGUCUAUGAGGAGUUUGAUAUUUACAGAGAAAGUCGACCCCUAAAAAUGAAGUUCUUCAACUGAAGACUUUGAUAUUCUGAAGACUUUCUGAAGACUUUGAAAGUGAAGAAAUUGGUGUGACCUUGAAGACUUGAUAUUCAUUCGAGGAAUAUGAAGCGUGAAGACUUUUGUAGGAAACACCGUACUGUUAACGGGGGUCGAGGAAAUUGAAGCGUGAAGACUUGAUAUUCAUUCUCUUUCUUGAGUCAUAGGAAACACCGUACUGUUAAAGGGGGUCGAGGAAAUACUAAGGAAAAAUUUCCAUGUGAUGCUCAACUCAAAAUCCUACACCUACCAAUCCCUUCGAGUGAAGCCAUUGGAAAUCUCAUACAGUCCAGUCAAAUUCGUCAGUGACAGAGACGCAGUUCUUCUGUUCACUGAGGACUUUGCUCUGACUGAGGAGUUAGGAAUGCGCCAGUGCGAAUUGCCUACACAGUGAGUAACAUGAUAGCCCUGAGGAAUUUGAGAGUCAAAAUUCCGACCGUUGGUGUGCUGCGCGCCGGCUGUCCCAAAAUAUCUUAUCCACCUAACGGUCAUAUCAUUGAAGGGCAUUUAUGUCUUAUCAUGUCGGGCUGCUUCCUAGGCUAUAAAUAGCCGCCCCCUACAACCACUAGUUGGUUGGCUGCUCCGAGAGAACUUGACACUUGUCAUUUGAGAGCAACCCAUCCUCCGAGGACUUUGAGCGAAAAUCAUCAAGUGAGGAAAAUCCCAAAACCAAACCCCCACAAACCCAAAGUGAUUGAGCAUCACUGAAGAAAUUGAUCCUGCGUGGAUCCGACGCUUGUUACCUUUGAAGACUGUGCUUCUUCCAGAUGGUUAGGCGUCAAGGUCUAGAGCAUCCAAGAGGAAUUGUGGAUCGCCGAGUGACCAAGUCUGUGAAGGUUUGGAAGUCACCUGAAAACUUACCACGAGUGAUUGGACGAGGCCUGCAUGGUCUUAGUUCAAGGAGAAUAUGGUGAGGACUGGGUGUCCUGAGUUGCGGCUCAGAGACUGGGUGUCCAGGACUGUGUGUCCUCGAGUUUAAAUACUCAGCCGCUCCAACCAGACGUACAACUGAGACAGCAGUUGGAACUGGUUUACCAAAUCAUUGUCUUCACCAACUGACUGGUUCUAUUUCCUCAACUCUUUCAUUUCCUCAUUACUGUGUUGACUGUUGUUCAUAUCUAUGCUUGAAGACUUUGACUGAAGACUUUCACAAAUUCCUCAGUUCAAUUUCUUCAGUCUGUUUGUCUUCAUCUUGCUAUCUUGUGUUUACGCUUUCCGUACUCUGUGUUAGUCCUCAAUUCAUCAUGCUGACUAUGUUUGUAUCCUGUUAUGUUUACUUCUGAGUACAUAUUCUGCUGCAAGUAGUUCUUCGCUAAGGAAUUUCCUCAUCAGCAAAUUCCUCAGUGAAGAAUUCAUAAAAAUCGCCUAUUCACCCCCCUCUAGUCGAUAUAACGCACUUUCAAUUGGUAUCAGAGCAAGGUACUCCCUUGUUCUGUGUGAUUUUGGUUUAACCGCCUGGAGUUUUAGUUAUGUCGACCACAGGUAUGAUCAAGGUCUCGGCUGGGUGUCCUACCUUUGAUGGAACGGACUACCCCUACUGGAAGAACAAGAUGCGAAUGCAUCUUCAGGCAAUUGACAAUGAUCUCUGGUAUGUUGUGGAAAAUGGUGUCCCCUCUGUCACUGAAACACUGACCGCUACCGAUGUGAAGAGAUUCAAACAACUCGAUUCUCAAGCGAAGAAUAUCAUAUGUGUUCAUCUGAGCAAAGGACAGUAUGGAAGAGUGUCACAUCCCUAGCUUUACCCUGGCCAUGGACUAGCUUGGUUGCUGCAUCAUGUUUAAAUUCAAAUGAAAUUUGAACUGAGGAAUUCAGAAGCCUCAGAACCCUAAUUAAAAGAAGGGCAAGCACCCUUUAAAUUGCAUUCUGUGAAUCCAAAAUGCCCUAAAAAUAGUUUUGUGAAUUUUGGCAAGAGUUAUAUAUCAAACCAAAAUUCUGGAAUAUUUUUAAGGAAUUAUUUGGUCUCUGAAUUUAAAUCAAUAAUCUAUUUGAAUUUGGGGAUAUAUUCAUAAUAUAUAAUGAAUAUAUUUUCAAAUGCUUUGAAAUGUUUUAUGUACUUUUGGAAUAGUCCAGAGAGGUAACAUAAAAUAUUUCAGAAUGUUUUGGCACUGUAUGAAAUUAUUUUGGAAUUGAAAACAGUGGCAAAAGAUAUUAAAUAAAACAAACAGAACAGGAAAAAAAUAAAAAGAACAGAGCUUACCUGGCCUCCCCGUGCAGCCCACCAGAGCCGGCCCAGCUUCCCCAGCCGGCCCAGCCCACCUCCUCCUCCCUUGUCCUCUUCCUCCUCUGCCAGGAGGAUGAACAGAGGCGAGGCGUGGCGCUCGCCGACGCUGCCUCGGCCACCUCCUGCUUCCCCCUAGCCACCUCCUGCUUCCUCUCGUUGCCCUGGACCCCGUCCGCGACGCCACGCACCCCCCCAGGCCUCUCACUCUCUCCCCGAGCUCCUCUCCUCCUCUGGCUCUCUCGCGCGCAGCCACCGAACACACCCGCCGCCGCCGACGAGCUCUCUCGUGGCCACCGGCCACCCCUAGCCUCUCCGACACACCCACGAGCUCCGCCUCGACCCCCUCCUUCCUCCCCACCGACCCACGGCCCCCCGGAAGCCCUGCAACGCCGCCACCAUGGCCGUUCCGUCGCCGGCCACCGAAGCUCCCCUCCGUCGAUUCGCCGGACCCCGAGCCUCCCCUGCCUCGCCAGCAGCACCCGAAGAAUCGCGGUGAGCCACUGAACCGUUCCCCUCUUCUUCCCAUGCCGUUGGGCCGCUCUAGCCAUUGCUUCCGCCGGACCCGAGAGCUCGCCGCCGCCGUGCCUCGUAACCACCGUGGCUGGAGCCGUUGCAGCUCGAAGCCGAGCACACCACCGCACCCAACACGUCUCCAGGAGCCCGUAACCGCCACUAGCUUCCCUCCCGUGCCCCCGAACGCCAAACCCGACCUCACCGAACUCCGGCCGCCGCCUCGCUCGCCGCCGUUGCUGAUUCCGGCCACCCCUGCACCUCCCGUUGGUCCCCCUUGAUGCGCACGGUCGCGGGCUACCUCCUGGUGCCCUUGGCGCGUCGAUCCGAUGCCCCUAGCGCAAGUCCGGCGCUCCCCCUCCGUGCGGAAUGGUCGCCGCCGGCGAAACCCCGGCGACUGCCGACGUGGCACGCCUAAUUAGCACUAAUGACGCCUAAACACCCCCCCACAGCCACUGACAGUGGGCCCCGUAGUGGGUCAAAGCCCGGGUCAACGCGGGAUUAGCCCCUGUGUCACUGACGUGUGGACCCCACACGUCAGGUUUGACCUGGAGGUGCCCUGUUGACCUCGCUGACGUGGCCUUUGACCGGCCCCACAUGUCUGUGACUCCAGCCAGCACUGUGUCACUAACGUGUGGCCCCCACAUGUCAGAUUUGACCCGAGCCAGCCCAGUUGACUGCUGACGUCACAGUGACGUGGUGCUGACACCAUAAUUCAUUUUCUUGAAUUAUUCUAAUUCUAAAUAAUCAGAAAAUUCCAGAAAAUGCCUAAAACUUCUAUAAUUCAUAGAAAAUUAACCGUAACUCCAAAUUAAAUAAAUUAUAUAUGAAAAAUUAUUAGAAAAAUUCAAGGAAUCCAUCUGUACCAUUUUCAUGCAUGUUAGAACAACUUAUAGCUGCUGUUUAGCACAAAUCAAAUAAAUGGCAUUUGAAUAAUCACAUAUGGAGUUUGAAUUUGAAUUUUAUAUUCAAACCAACUUCAUUUAAUCUGUUGCUAGUUGCAUUAACUCAAAACACAUUCAUAUUGCCAUGUCAUGAGCAUGCAUCAUAUUGUGCAUUGCAUUGAUUGUAUUUCUUCCUUGUUGCCGGUAUUUGUUCCCUCUCGAUAGACGUGAUACCGAUGAUGUGAUCGUUGACACUGAUGAAGACCCAAUGUUGUCUUCAGAAGUGCCAGGCAAGCAAAACCCCCUUGUUCAUUUCGAUAAAAUCCCACUCUCUCGCUCCUGCUCUCUUUUACUGCAUUAGGACAACAACGACAUACUUGUUACUUGCUGCGGUAGCUGAACCCCUUUAUCCUUUGCAUGACCUGUCAUUGCCACAGUAAAUAGAUGAAACCCACUAGCAUGAGUAGGAGUUGUUUGAGCCCUGUUGUGCCUACUCAUUCAUGUUUGUUUGUCAUGCCUGCUACUGCUUAGAGUUGAGUCAGGUCUGAUUCAUCGGGGAUGAAUCAGAGGCGUGUGAACAUGUCCUACUGUGUGUGAGCUAAGUGUGUGAACACGAUUUGGUAAAGGUAGCGGUUAGAGGCCAUGUAGGAGUACAUGGUGGGUUGUCUCAUUGCAGCCGUCCUCAGGAACUGAGUUCUGUGUUUGUGAUCCAUGAUUCAGCUACUACCACGCAUUGGGCCCGAAACCAAUGGACCCUCUCGGCUUCUUGAUCACCCUUGUCCUCUGUCCAGGAGUUGCAAGUAGUUUCUGGUGUUUGUAGUAUGCUGGAGGCCGUGCGCAGCGCUGACCGUAGGGGUGGGCUGUGAUGCGGUAGGCACGUGGCCGGGUAAACCGGGCGCCCGUUUGGUGUCACGGAACCUUGUACACAUCGUUUGGGGCUGUGAGCGAAACUCCGGCCGGAUCUCCUCAUGGAUGGAACCCGAAUAGGCGAUAAACCUGGGCUAGAGACUUAGGUGAUUAGGUAGGUCGUGGCCGACACCCACGUUGGGCUUCCUCUUGAAGGUUGCCGAGUACAUGUCGUGUAAACGGCGGUAAGUGGUGAGAGCAUGUGUGAAGAAGUACACCCCUGCAGGGUUAAUAUCAUCUAUUCGAAUAGCCGUGUCCACGAAAAAGGACUUCUGGGUUGCUUAUAUCAGUUCAUAGACAAGUGGAAGUGGAUACUCUAAAAUACGCAAGAUAAGCGUGAGUGCUAUGGAUGGCGUUCUCGUAGGGAGACGUGAGCGGAUCCAUAGUGGUGUAUUGAUAUGGUGAAUAUGUGGACUCGUGUGCGCCACCUCAAAAAAGUUACUCGCAGUCGUAGUUCAGGAUAGCCACCGAGUCAAAGCUGGCUUGCUGCAGUUAAACCCCACCAUCCCUUUGUUGAUAAUGAUGCAUAUGUAGAUAGUUCUGAUGUAAGUCUUGCUGGGUACAUUUGUACUCACGUUUGCCUAUUUUGUGUUUUUGCAGAGAGACUUCAGUCUCACUAGUAUUUCCGCGUGGUCUUCGACGUUUAGCUUGUUACCUCAGCUACGAUCUUGUGCCUCGGCGGGAUUUGGUAGAUAGUCAGGCUUCUCAGCCUUUUUCAUUUAUAGAUGUCUGUACUCAGACAUGAUAGCUUCCGCUUGUGCUUGAUUUGUAUGCUCUGAAUGUUGGGUCAUGAGACCCAUGUUUGUAAUAUCUCGCUCCUCGGAGCCUAUUGAAUAGAUUACUUGAGUCAUAGAGUCAUGUUGUGAUGCCAUGUUGUAUUUGCACAUAUCGAGCAUAUUGUGUGUAUGUUAUUGAAAUGCUUGGUAUGUGUGGGAUCUGACCAUCUAGUUGUUUAUCUUUAGUAGCCUCUCUUACGGAGAAAUGUCUCCUAGUGUUUCCACCGAGCCAUGGUAGCUUGCUACUGCGCCGGAACACUUAGGCUGGCCGGCAUGUGUCCUUCUUCGUUCCUGUGUUUGUCCCUUCGGGGAAAUGUCACGCGGUGAAUACCGGAGUCCUGUUAGCCCGCUACAGCCCGGUUCACCGGAGUCCUGCUAGCCCAGUGCUACAGCCUGGAUUCCCUCGCUGAUGACCGACACGUUCGAUGCUGGGUCAUGGAUGCCUGUCCCUGUAAGUCUGUGCCGCUUUGGGUUUACGACUAGCCAUGUCAGCCCGGGCUCCUUAUCAUAUGGAUGCUAGCGACACUGUCAUAUACGUGUGCCAAAAGGCGCAAACGGUCCCGGGCAAAGUUAAGGCGACACCCGUGGGAAUACCGUGCGUGAGGCUGCAAAGUGAUAUGAGGUGUUACAUGCUAGAUCGAUGUGGCAUUGAGUCGGGGUCCUGACAGCGUUGGUAUCAGAGCUUGACUGCCUGUAGGAUUACCAAGCCAAACUGGUCGAAGUUGAGUCUAGAAAUUCUUAGUUAUAUAAGGGAAUUGAUUGUGGGAUGGAACGUAAGGCUCUUUUUACUCCUUAUACCUCAUGGCCUUCUGAUCUGAGUCAUCAUCUUCUCUUCUACGGGGAUUAAGAACUAGGCUAUCUCUUCUUUCUAUUAGGAUCACGUGUUACUAAUCCGUAGACUUAUAAGAUUGUUGGAUUUAAGCUUGAGUUCAGUUUCUACUACUUCCGUAUGUUAAUUGUUGAUCUCGAAACCUUGAUAUCGUGCUUCUGAGUGGUUAUGCCACCAUUUUGUGAAUGUCUCAAAUCUUUUCUGAGCAUUUACAGCCGUUAUGCUGUCCGAGUCAUCCCAGGUUUCUAUACAAUCUGAUGCAAUUUGCAAAUCCUUUCUUCCCGUUUCGAUGUUCCUUUGGGCCAGAUUAGCCACACUAGUCAGUGAGUUGAGGUACUUUAUUGCCUUGACAUAUAUGUUGGAGCUAGUAUUAUGACCCUAGGUGUCUUAGGGGAUCAUCUAGUAAUUUAGCCAUGAUUUGUGCUCCCAGUGUGAGGAUUCUGGCCAUCAUUCUCAAAAGCAUUCCGUGAUGCUACUUAGUAGUAGGUAUUCUAUUCCUGGGUUCUUGAACCCGAGAUUCACUCUUCUUACUUCAUGUCGAUAGUAAUUGCUAGCUCCCUUAGGUUAUUAGUAACCUUUGCGAUAGUCCUUGAAGCCCGUGGUAUCUUCUUCUUCCAGGUACCAUGAACUACUUAUGGCAGAAGUUCCUCGUUGAACUGAAAUAUCACAACAGGAUUAUUCUUGAGGAGUUCUCCAUUCAUAAAUCGUGACUCUGCCAGUUCUACCUUUCUGCAUGGGUUAUCCGGGAGAAAUAUGUUGAACUUGGUUCGACAUACUAAUCUAUGCAUCCACAACUCAGAAAAUUAUAUGUUCCUUUGAGUUGUUCUCUUUAGUUGCAUUCUGACCCUCGUCUAUCAAUUGAUAGUCAAGAGUAUGCGUGCGUUCGUUUAUCGAUGCCUAUUACUCUUGUGGUCCGUCAAGCCAUUCCAUCGCAGAAUGACUAGGAGAAACAAACUCCAGUACCUCUUCCAUAUCCAGGAUUGGGUCAGAGAAGUUGUGCUCCGCAGAUCAAAUUGCUAAUCCAGCUUUCGUUCUGUUCUACCUUGGAGUAUUACCAUCUUUAAAUCGGGAUUGUUAUAGGAAUUGCACCCCAUCCUAUGAACUCCUGGUACAGUGAUACUUCUUGCCGUCAUUAGUCAUUCCUCGGUCUUCGUGUUGAUGCAAUCGGAAUACCGACAAAUGAAUUGUGAUGUGUGAAAUCAAUACGCCUAGCAACCUCGUUGCUGGGUAGUUAAAGGACAAUAAUUUUAUUCUUAGUGUGUUGGUUAUUGAAUCAUCAUUCUAAGAUUGAUCGUGCUACCUAGUCCAUUCUCCUGGUUCACUCCUCGAUCGAUGAGUUAGGAUUAUUUCAAAUUCUUGCUCUAUUGAUCAUAUCGUCUUGCCCUGAAAAGCAAGAUUGUUCUCGAGCUUAGUAACAUACCGGUGGCUCGUGAUUCUCUGAAUAUCUUCUCAGAAGUAUUACCAGGUUGUCACCUGACCGCUAUGUUGAGCUCGUGAUCAAGUUGGGUUUUUGUGAACCAUCCUUCUCCAAGAAUUUGUGUUGGAUAUCCCUGAGCUAGUUGGUUAAGUUAGACAACGACUUGGAGAAUUGGAAGAUAAAAGCUUGCCUGACUUAGUUCGUUCCAAAGGGAUAUUCUUGUGUAGUGUGUGUUGAAGAAAGAUGAUAUCUUCAUCGAUUGGUCCCUGUGAUCAGUUGCUGGAUCUAUUGUCUUAUCAAUCCUUUGAUUUGAGUGUGGGCUAUCGUCAAAUCAAAUCAGAACCAACGAUAUUCGUAAUGUUGUCUUACUCGUGGUUGAUUCCUCGAGCAUACACCAUUAUAUCUUUGGUCUGACCAAUGCUAUCACCGUGUUCACUUAACUAUGGAAUUCCUUUUAAAAGGAAACCUAGAUGAAUUGUUGUUGAGCCCAUUGACAACAUCCUUAUCUCCUCCAUAAUUUUGUUGAACAUUAAGCUAGUGUUGGAAAUUUUUGAAAGCAUUUGUUCAUGCUAGCUCAUGAAGCAUAUGUUUGGAUGAAGGUAGUGACUUCCUUUAAUUCAUGUGCAUCUGAUGCAAGUUGCCGCCAUGGAUUCGAGAAAGUCAAUGUUGUUUUCUUGGAAUCAUUCCAAAUCAGUCAUGCACACGUGCGAAGAAUUCUGUGGUUUGAAGACUUGCAACCUUCAAUCUAUAUGUGUCCCUAGCACACCAAGCCACUGAUUGAAUUGUUCAAGGAGAAGAAGUUCCUUCUUAAGAGUAUACCUUAUGCAAGGACUUCGAUAUCCUCGAUGAUGGUUCCCCUCCUGAAUUCGGUAGUGUUUUAUUAUAAGACUACUUUGUGGUCAUGCUUGUCUUGGACAACAUGUUCACAUGUUUGUAGCAGAACCAGCUCAUGUUUUGGAGCUUGCUAUCGUAGUUCGUCUCCCGAGAAUCUCGCAACGUCAUCUCGUCGAUUUGUGUUGCAAACUUUUAUUUUUCUUCCUAGACUCGAUGAGUUUGGAAUAUCCUGACACCAACCAGAUCUGAAUCUUAGGCAGAUAUGAUGGGUUGGAACAUUUCCCAAGAACUAUAAUAUUGGUCUCUCGAUAACCGGUAAGAUGGAUGUCGUGGCCAACACACCCAUCCGGUAGACCUAUUAUUAUAGUAUCUUAUUUGAUGGAAUUGGCCACCUCCCCAUAGGGAUUUCGUAGGAUUUACUCCCUAGUUGCCCCUAUGGAUCUUUGUGUUCCCGAAGUCCGACCUUUACUUGAUGUUCUAGAUACCAAACCAUUUCAAUGAAUGGGAUACACUAGCACAUCAAGGAGAACAUUAGAAGCGGAGUGCUAAAUGUCUCUCGGUCGAUCAUCCAGAUUUUGUUUCCUUGGCCUCGCUAAGGUGAAAUCUGAGAAGGUGUUAUCUUCCUUUGCAUCUGCAUCAUCCAUCAUUAGCCAUCAUGGUAGUAUGUUGUGUUGUCAGCACCCUUGACACGGAUGUUGAUAAAACCUUGAUGAUUAUGGAAAUGCUCAAGUUCUUGAGAGCACGCACAAGCGCUAGGUGUUAUCAUCGACACUAAUUGGGAUGCUCUCAGUUUCCUCGGCAAUGCUAUGAUCUUUUCAAACAGCGAAUUCACUCCCUAUUGUUGGGUUCUUCCCCAGUUACCAGAAUCAUUCCCAGCAUUUGCAUUUUGUUCCUAGCUUGCACCACCAAUGUGCCAUUCUACCAUGGGUCUCUUCCAUUUCCGGUGAUAAGUAAAAUCAUCCAUUACGUUGUCUUCAACAAGGUAAUCCACAUCAUCCAAGUCCGAUUAUGCCAUUCUACCGACCCCGCCAAUCGAUUGCUUGUGAUUGCCUUAGGCUGGUAUAAAGAGUUUCAAUGAUCUUUGAAUCAAAGGUAAUUCUUUUUGUCACUUAAGGGGAUAUAUCUACGAGUCACCAUCCCUAAGAUGCCUCGUUGUGGUAUCAUGGCAAUCCAACUCCUCGCUACGUUGACAACCGAUCGCCACAUUCUUAAGUCUGGAAUUGUUGUCUACUUAGCGAACCCUCGUCAUUUGUCUUACUCCAUUUCUUCGGAUCUGUGCUUCGUCUCUCAGCUCAAGAUAUGUUGCUAUAUCUCAUCCCAUGAGUUGAUCCUAAGUUGUUCGGUCUUCUCGAAGAUCGAUUGUUCUAGAGUUUUCCUUUCCUCUUCUUGUCAUGAUUAGCUGAAGUUCUCAGAGCAAGACGACAAGACAAUGAUGGUGUUCAAAUCAACGUUCAUUUGAAGUGCACCCUGGAUCAUGAAGAUUAUACUAGUUUGCGUUUCCCCUUCACCUUACCCUACGCUUGAAUCUCGGGACGAGAUUCUUGUUUAGUGGGGGUGAGUUGUCACAUCCCUAGCUUUACCCUGGCCAUGGACUAGCUUGGUUGCUGCAUCAUGUUUAAAUUCAAAUGAAAUUUGAACUGAGGAAUUCAGAAGCCUCAAAACCCUAAUUAAAAGAAGGGCAAGCACCCUUUAAAUUGCAUUCUGUGAAUCCAAAAUGCCCUAAAAAUAGUUUUGUGAAUUUUGGCAAGAGUUAUAUAUCAAACCAAAAUUCUGGAAUAUUUUUAAGGAAUUAUUUGGUCUCUGAAUUUAAAUCAAUAAUCUAUUUGAAUUUGGGGAUAUAUUCAUAAUAUAUAAUGAAUAUAUUUUCAAAUGCUUUGAAAUGUUUUAUGUACUUUUGGAAUAGUCCAGAGAGGUAACAUAAAAUAUUUAAGAAUGUUUUGCACUGUAUGAAAUUAUUUUGGAAUUGAAAACAGUGGCAAAAGAUAUUAAAUAAAACAAACAGAACAGGAAAAAAAUAAAAAGAACAGAGCUUACCUGGCCUCCCCGUGCAGCCCACCAGAGCCGGCCCAGCUUCCCCAGCCGGCCCAGCCCACCUCCUCCUCCCUUGUCCUCUUCCUCCUCUGCCAGGAGGACGAACAGAGGCGAGGCGUGGCGCUCGCCGACGCUGCCUCGGCCACCUCCUGCUUCCCCCUAGCCACCUCCUGCUUCCUCUCGUUGCCCUGGACCCCGUCCGCGACGCCACGCACCCCCCCAGGCCUCUCACUCUCUCCCCGAGCUCCUCUCCUCCUCUGGCUCUCUCGCGCGCAGCCACCAAACACACCCGCCGCCGCCGACGAGCUCUCUCGUGGCCACCGGCCACCCCUAGCCUCUCCGACACACCCACGAGAUCCGCCUCGACCCCCUCCUUCCUCCCCACCGACCCACGGCCCCCCGGAAGCCCUGCAACGCCGCCACCAUCGCCGUUCCGUCGCCGGCCACCGAAGCUCCCCUCCGUCGAUUCGCCGGACCCCGAGCCUCCCCUGCCUCGCCAGCAGCACCAGAAGAAUCGCGGUGAGCCACUGAACCGUUCCCCUCUUCUUCCCAUGCCGUUGGGCCGCUCUAGCCAUUGCUUCCGCCGGACCCGAGAGCUCGCCGCCGCCGUGCCUCGUCACCACCGUGGCUGGAGCCGUUGCAGCUCGAAGCCGAGCACACCACCGCACCCAACACGUCUCCAGGAGCCCGUAGCCGCCACUAGCUUCCCUCCCGUGCCCCCGAACGCCAAACCCGACCUCACCGAACUCCGGCCGCCGCCUCGCUCGCCGCCGUUGCUGAUUCCGGCCACCCCCGCACCUCCCGUUGGUCCCCCUAGAUGCGCACGGGCGCGGGCUACCUCCUGGUGCCCUUGGCGCGUCGAUCCGAUGCCCCUAGCGCAAGUCCGGCGCUCCCCCGCCGUGCGGAAUGGUCGCCGCCGGCGAAACCCCGGCGACUGCCGACGUGGCACGCCUAAUUGGCACUAAUGACGCCUAAACACCCCCCCACAGCCACUGACAGUGGGCCCCGUAGUGGGUCAAAGCCCGGGUCAACGCGGGAUUAGCCCCUGUGUCACUGACGUGUGGACCCCACACGUCAGGUUUGACCUGGAGGCGCCCUGUUGACCUCGCUGACGUGGCCUUUGACCGGCCCCACAUGUCUGUGACUCCAGCCAGCACUGCGUCACUGACGUGUGGCCCCCACAUGUCAGGUUUGACCCGAGCCAGCCCAGUUGACUGCUGACGUCACAGUGACGUGGUGCUGACGCCAUAAUUCAUUUUCUGGAAUUAUUCUAAUUCUAAAUAAUCAGAAAAUUCCAGAAAAUGCCUAAAACUUCUAUAAUUCAUAGAAAAUUAACCGUAACUCCAAAUUAAAUAAAUUAUAUAUGAAAAAUUAUCAGAAAAAUUCAAGGAAUCCAUCUGUACCAUUUUCAUGCAUGUUAGAACAACUUAUAGCUGCUCUUUAGCACAAAUCAAAUAAAUGGCAUUUGAAUAAUCACAUAUGGAGUUUGAAUUUGAAUUUUAUAUUCAAACCAACUUCAUUUAAUCUGUUGCUAGUUGCAUUAACUCAAAACACAUUCAUAUUGCCAUGUCAUGAGCAUGCAUCAUAUUGUGCAUUGCAUUGAUUGUAUUUCUUCCUUGUUGCCGGUAUUUGUUCCCUCUCGAUAGACGUGAUACCGAUGAUGUGAUCGUUGACACUGAUGAAGACCCAAUGUUAUCUUCAGAAGUGCCAGGCAAGCAAAACCCCCUUGUUCAUUUCGAUAAAAUCCCACUCUCUCGCUCCUGCUUUCUUUUACUGCAUUAGGACAACAACGACAUACUUGUUACUUGCUGCGGUAGCUGAACCCCUUUAUCCUUUGCAUGACCUGUCAUUGCCACAGUAAAUAGAUGAAACCCACUAGCAUGAGUAGGAGUUGUUUGAGCCCUGUUGUGCCUACUCAUUCAUGUUUGUUUGUCAUGCCUGCUACUGCUUAGAGUUGAGUCAGGUCUGAUUCAUCGGGGAUGAAUCAGAGGCGUGUGAACAUGUCCUACUGUGUGUGAGCUAAGUGUGUGAACACGAUUUGGUAAAGGUAGCGGUGAGAGGCCAUGUAGGAGUACAUGGUGGGUUGUCUCAUUGCAGCCGUCCUCAGGAACUGAGUUCUGUGUUUGUGAUCCAUGAUUCAGCUACUACCACGCAUUGGGCCCGAAACCAAUGGACCCUCUCAGCUUCUUGAUCACCCUUGUCCUCUGUCCAGGAGUUGCAAGUAGUUUCUGGUGUUUGUAGUAUGCUGGAGGCCGUGCGCAGCGCUGACCGUAGGGGUGGGCUGUGAUGCGGUAGGCACGUGGCCGGGUAAACCGGGCGCCCGUUUGGUGUCACGGAACCCUGUACACAUCGUUUGGGGCUGUGAGCGAAACUCCGGCCGGAUCUCCUCAUGGAUGGAACCCGAAUAGGCGAUAAACCUGGGCUAGAGACUUAGGUGAUUAGGUAGCUCGUGGCCGACACCCACGUUGGGCUUCCGCUUGAAGGUUGCCGAGUACAUGUCGUGUAAACGGCGGUAAGUGGUGAGAGCAUGUGUGAAGAAGUACACCCCUGCAGGGUUAAUAUCAUCUAUUCGAAUAGCCGUGUCCACGGAAAAGGACUUCUGGGUUGCUUAUAUCAGUUCAUAGACAAGUGGAAGUGGAUACUCUAAAAUACGCAAGAUAAGCGUGAGUGCUAUGGAUGGCGUUCUCGUAGGGAGACGUGAGCGGAUCCAUAGUGGUGUAUUGAUAUGGUGAAUAUGUGGACUCGUGUGCGCCACCUCAAAAAAGUUACUCGCAGUCGUAGUUCAGGAUAGCCACCGAGUCAAAGCUGGCUUGCUGCAGUUAAACCCCACCAUCCCUUUGUUGAUAAUGAUGCAUAUGUAGAUAGUUCUGAUGUAAGUCUUGCUGGGUACAUUUGUACUCACGUUUGCCUAUUUUGUGUUUUUGCAGAGAGACUUCAGUCUCACUAGUAUUUCCGCGUGGUUUUCGACGUUUAGCUUGUUACCUCAGCUACGAUCUUGUGCCUCGGCAGGAUUUGGUAGAUAGUCAGGCUUCUCAGCCUUUUUCAUUUAUAGAUGUCUGUACUCAGACAUGAUAGCUUCCGCUUGUGCUUGAUUUGUAUGCUCUGAAUGUUGGGUCAUGAGACCCAUGUUUGUAAUAUCUCGCUCCUCGGAGCCUAUUGAAUAGAUUACUUGAGUCAUAGAGUCAUGUUGUGAUUCCAUGUUGUAUUUGCACAUAUCGAGCAUAUUGUGUGUAUGUUAUUGAAAUGCUUGGUAUGUGUGGGAUCUGACCAUCUAGUUGUUUAUCUUUAGUAGCCUCUCUUAUGGAGAAAUGUCUCCUAGUGUUUCCACCGAGCCAUGGUAGCUUGCUACUGCUCCGGAACACUUAGGCUGGCCGGCAUGUGUCCUUCUUCGUUCCUGUGUCUGUCCCUUCGGGGAAAUGUCACGCGGUGAAUACCGGAGUCCUGUUAGCCCGCUACAGCCCGGUUCACCGGAGUCCUGCUAGCCCAGUGCUACAGCCUGGAUUCACUCGCUGAUGACCGACACGUUCGAUGCUGGGUCAUGGAUGCCUGUCCCUGUAAGUCUGUGCCGCUUUGGGUUUACGACUAGCCAUGUCAGCCCAGGCUCCUUAUCAUAUGGAUGCUAGCGACACUGUCAUAUACGUGUGCCAAAAGGCGCAAACGGUCCCGGGCAAAGGUAAGGCGACACCCGUGGGAAUACCGUGCGUGAGGCCGCAAAGUGAUAUGAGGUGUUACAUGCUAGAUCGAUGUGGCAUUGAGUCGGGGUCCUGACAAAGAGUGAGUGCUUUGGAAACUGCUAAGCUUAUCUGGGAUAGGCUGUCCAAAGUAAAUGAAGGAGUUUCAACUCAGCGUGACUCUCGAGUCGAUGUUCUUCGGAAUCUCUUCAACCGCUUCAAAAGACUCGACAAUGAGAAUGUCCAACAAACCUUUGAUCGCCUCACUGACAUCUCAAAUGAGCUUCAAGCCCUCGGUGCCACUGACAUCACUGAUCAUGAAGUUGUGAAGAAACUGCUGAGAUCGCUUGAUUCCUCAUUUGAUACUCUGGGACUGAUGAUACAAGAACGUGCUGACUACAAGUCGCUUGAUCCUGCUGAUAUCCUCGAAAGGCUAAACACUCACGAGUUCCAGCUUGCUGAAAAGAGAGAUCUCUAUGGCUCAAACUAUGGCAAACCACGUGCCCUGAAGGCUAAGGCUAUGUCUGACUCUGAAUGUGAGGAUUUUGGUAGUAGCCUUGGUGAUCCUGAAGAACUGAGCCAGGAUCUAACACUGCUUGUGAAGAAAUUCCGGAAAUUCACAAGACGAGAUCGCUUUGAUAAAUCCUCAAGAGGAAAUGACUCCUCAUCCAGUGACUAUAAGAGAAGACUUUGCCACAAAUGCAAGAAGCCUGGUCACUAUAUUCAAGAUUGUCCUCAGUGGGAAAAGGAAAUGAAGAAGAAGAAAUACAAGGAUUACAGUUCUGAUGAUACGAAGAAGAAGAAGAAAUCGUCAAAAUCUUCGUCAUCAAAACCCUCAAAGUCCUCAUCUCACAAGAAGGGCAGCUCCAAGAAGGCUCAGGCAUUCAUUGGCAAUGAAAUGGACUCUGAAGCUGAAUCCGAGGAAAAUGAUGAAGAGGAGGAGUCUGAAGAAUUUGAGUCUGGUGUGGCGAGUCUGGCCGUUGCUACUGCUUUCGUCAGCAAGUCCAUCUUCAACACUGAAGAAACUGACUCCACCGACAAGCCUGAUGAAGAUAAUGAUGGCUACGCUCCCACCUGUUGCUUCAUGGCAAAAGGAGCCAAGGUACUCAAAUACAACUCCUCUGAUUCUAGUGAAAAUGAAUCUGAUGAGGAUCUCAAGCCUAGCUACUCUAAACUUGCUAAAAUUGCUGUGAAACAACAACAGGCUCUUGAAAAGGUUCAAAACAUGCUAGAUAAAAGUGAUGAUAUGUUGGGUGAAGAAAUGGAUCGCACUAAAGCCUUGACUGAAAAUCUUCACAGACUUCAGUCUAGGUAUGAUAACCUUCAAGGUCAUCAUAACUCUCUCCUGUCUGAUCAUGAGAAACUUUCUUAUGCAUUCCUUCAAGAAAAGCAAGAUCAUGAGAAGCUUUCUCUUGAAGCUCUUCAAAGAAAGGAAGAUCUUGAAAAGCUAAGAGUGUGUUAUGAAGAUCUUCAGAAGGAGCGCGAUUCAUUACUAGCUCAACAAAUCAGCGCUUCUCAGGAAGAAUUUGUUUCUCCAUGCUUAAAGUGCAUCGAACGUGAAUCUGCUAAUUCUUCACCUGAAUGUUCAAAUGCUUCAAAUGUUACAAAUUCUUCAUCAGCCUCUGCUAUCACAAUUCCUCAUCUGAGGACAUUGCUAGUAUCACUGACAAUGCAGGGCUAAAGGAAUUGUACAUGAUAGGGAUGUACAAAAGCCUCAAAGGGCAUCAGACACUUUGUGAUGUGCUCAAAAAGCAGAUGCUCAAUAGAAACCCUAGGAAAGAGGGUAUUGCCUUUGAGAGGAAACUCAAUGCCGAUGGAACAUACUGGAAGCCUGAGCAGUAUCCCAAAACCUCAUGGGUUGCUGCAAAGGGACCUCCAGUUGAUCCAUCUAACUUAUCUGGCUUUACGUGUGAAUCUUCUCAUUCUUCUGAUGAGUCAUUUGACUCCAACUAUAAAAUGUUCAAAAAUCAGAAUGGUGAAGUAUUUGCUAGAUAUGUUGGCACUAACUGCAGGAACGAUUCCCCCAUGAAGAAAAUCUGGGUUCCCAAAAGCUGUGUUGAAAAUCUUCAGGUGAAUGUCCUCGUGACACCACCUGUGAAGAACAGGAACCCCAGAUCAAAUUCUUCACAUGGAUCAAAUUCCUCAAAUGGAUCAAAGUACUCAUAUGAUUAUCAUUGUGCUAACAACUCUGUCUCGCAGGGUAGAGCUAAGGGCUAUGAAUAUGUGCAUUAUUCUUCAAACCAUUAUGUUCAUAAGUCCUCGAAGAAUUACUCUGCUUAUUCAUAUGCAUACCCUAACCCCUCCUAUGCUAAGCGAAAUGGUUUGGCAUCUUUGCCACCUUUCUCACAUGGUGCUCGCAGGAUGAUGAACUCUUUGCCUCCCCUCCAGAUGUGGGUGGUGAAGAAAAGGAACUAAUUUCUUCUGUAGGGUCAGGUCUCCAGACGUGCUCUAACGUCUGAAGAUUUUGCUGGGGACCUGACAAAAAUGCCUGAAAGGACGCAUGCGAAUCAUGAUGAAAUGAACUUUCAUUUCACACGUCCUCAUACCGCUAUAUCUGUUUACUGCUUGAUGAAAUUCGUCUGAUGACCUUGAUAUCAUAUUCUUCACUGAUGAAGCAUAUGAGAUUGUAAGCUACACUAAUUCAUCUGCAGGAUGAUCAACCCAAAACCACUGAAUGGGUCCUCGAUAGUGGAUGUACAAAUCACAUGACUGGUGACAAGAAUCUAUUGAUGGAUGCUCCCUUAUCACCGUCACCUCUGAAGCAUAUCAUCUUUGCUGACAAAGGCCAAAGUCAGGUAUUGGGUCUUGGUAAGGUUGCUAUCUCUAAGGAUAAGCACAUGGACAAAGUCAUGCUUGUUGAGUCCUUAGGAUACAAUCUCAUGUCAGUCUCAAUGCUUUGUGAUCUUGAUAUGGUUGUUGUCUUCGGUAAAUAUCGCUGUGUUGUGAUUAUGGAAGCUGACAAUUCCAAAGUCUUCGAAGGCUUUAGGAGAGGAGAUCUGUAUAUUGUUGAUUUCUCUACAGGACCACAACCAGCCGUGUGUCUACUCACAAAAGCUUCAGAAGGCUGGCUAUGGCAUCGACGACUUGGUCAUGCAGGCAUGAGGAAUUUGAACACGCUUGCAAAGAAGAAGCAUGUCAUUGGCAUUGAGAAUGUCAAAUUCCUCAAGGAUCACUUAUGCGGAGCAUGUGAAGCCGGAAAAAUGACCAAGGCCAAGCAUCCAGCGAAGACUAUCAUGACCACUACACGUCCAUUUGAAUUGCUUCACAUGGACCUCUUCGGACCUAAUCAUUAUUCAGUAGUCAACAAGAAAAGAACUCUUGUUGAGAUGGCUCGCACUAUGCUUGAUGAAUACAAAACGCCUCAGCGUUUUUGGAUUGAUGCAAUUGAUACUGCCUGCCACAUCAUCAACAGAGUAUAUCUUCACAAAUUCUUCAAGAAGACUGCCUAUGAACUCCUCACUGACAAGAAACCUAAUGUGAGUUAUUUCAAAGUCUUCGGUGCUAAAUGUUGGAUUGGAGAUCCUCACCAGAACUCUAAAUUUGCACCGAAAGCACAUGAAGGUUUUAGGCUUGGUUACGGAAAGGACUCGCACACCUACAAAGUCUUCAACAUUGUUCUUCACAAGAUUGUUGACACUGUAGAUGUGCGGUUCGAUGAAACUAAUGGCUUGCAAAGAGAGCACAUACCUUCUGUGUUAGAUGAACCAACACCUGAGGAUGCUAUCAAGCUCAAGGCAACUGAGGAUGUCAUUCCUACUGAAGAAUCUGCUGAAGAAUUCAUUCCUGUUCGUGAAGAACGUCGAGCUGAUGCACCUGAAGAACAUGAUGAGGAAAAUGGUGCCGAAGAAAAUGCUGAUCAAAAUCCUCAGCGACAACCAACUCAUCCACGUGUUGCAAAAUAAGUGCAAGUGCAGAAGAUCAUCGAUGACAUUAACGCACCAGGUCCUCUCACACGCUCAAAAGCUUUGCAUUUAUCUAACUUUUGUGGGCACUAUGCUUUUGUCUCUAUCUCAGAGCUCACUAAGGUAGAUGAAGCAUUUCUGGAGCCGGAAUGGAUUCAGGCUAUGCAAGAAGAAUUACAUCAGUUCGAGCUGAACAAUGUCUGGGAAUUGGUCAAUCGCCCAGAUCCUCGCAAGCAUAAUAUCAUUGGCACAAAGUGGAUCUACCGCAACAAGCAAGAUGAAAAUGGCCUUGUGGUGAGGAAUAAGGCACGACUAGUAGCUCAAGGCUACACACAGGUUGAAGGAAUUGAUUUCGAUGAAACUUUUGCACCUGUUGCUAGACUUGAGGCUAUUCGCAUUUUACUCGCCUAUGCUAACCAUCAUGAUAUCAUCUUAUAUCAAAUGGAUGUGAAAAGUGCAUUCCUCCAUGGUAAGCUUGAGGAAGAAGUAUAUGUUGCUCAACCCCAAGGUUUUGAAGAUCCCAAGAAUCCUGACAAAGUCUUCAGACUCAAUAAGGCCCUCUAUGGCCUCAUGCAAGCCCCUCGGGCGUGGUAUGACACAUUGAAGGAAUUCUUCGUGAAGAAUGGCUUCACACCCGGUUCACUCGACCCUACUCUUUUUACUAAAUCAUAUGAUGGUGAACUGUUUGUGUGCCAAAUAUAUGUUGAUGAUAUUAUCUUUGGCUGUACUAACCAACGAUACAGUGAUGAAUUUGCCUAUAUGAUGAGUGAAGAAUAUCAAAUGUCUAUGAUGGGAGAAUUGAAAUUCUUCUUAGGUCUUCAAAUUCGUCAGCAGCGCAAUGGCAUAUUCAUAUCUCAGGAGAAAUACCUGAAAGAUGUACUGAGGAAAUACGGCAUGCAAGAUUGCAAAGGCGUCAAAAUUCCUAUGCCCACAAAUGGCCAUCUAUGCACUGAUGAAAAUGGUAUUGACUUCGAUCACAAGGUAUACCGCUCCAUGAUUGGUUCUUUAUUGUACUUAUGUGCAUCUAGGCCAGAUAUAAUGCUUAGUGUUUGCAUGUGUGCCCGAUUUCAAGCUGCACCGCAGGAAUCACACCAUAAGGCUAUGAAGCAUAUUCUUCGAUAUCUAGCUCACACACCAACACUAGGAUUAUGGUACCCCAAGGGCUCUACUUUUGAUCUCAUUGGAUAUUCUGACUCUCACUAUGCUGGUGAUUGUGUGGACCGCAAGUCAACAUCUGGCACUUGUCAUUUCCUCGGACGAUCUUUGGUCUGUUGGUCCUCGAAGAAACAGAACUGCGUCUCACUGUCUACUGCUGAAGCUGAAUACAUUGCUGCUGGCUCAUGCUGUGCUCAACUGCUUUGGAUGAAGCAAACCCUCAAGGACUAUGGCAUCAACGUGAAGAAUGUGCCUCUCCUCUGCAACAAUGAGAGUGCCAUCAAGAUUGCUCACAACCCAGUUCAGCACUCGAAGACUAAGCACAUCCAGAUUCGUCAUCAUUUUCUUCGUGAUCAUGUGUUGAAGGCGACAUCUCCAUCGAGCAUGUGAAGACUGAAGAACAGCUAGCUGAUAUCUUCACUAAGCCCUUGGAUGAGAAGAAAUUUAGCAAGUUGCGGUGUGAGCUAAAUAUCUUAGAAUAUUCGAAUGUUCUUUGAAAAGGACACACAUCCUAAUCCUUAUGCAGAAUUGAUGACUUAGAUGUGCAACACAUGAAGAAACGUUUUUCUUCAAUCAAUGAAGAAUAACACUCUAAGUGUGAAGAAAUUAAUGAAGAAUUUGAUUCACAGAACCCUACGACAAUUGUACGCGGUGUCUGAAAUCAUCAUUCUUAUACGGUGGGCUACGCCACCACAAAAGUUGAAAAUCUUCAAUUUGAGUUUUUCCUCAUUUUUGAAAUUCCUCAGUUUUUAAAAUUCUUCAACUUUGCAAAAUCUUCAAUGUUUCCAUCGUUUUUCUUCAUUAGCUAUAUAUAUAUAUAUGUGAGUUUAUGUCCUCUACAACAUUCACUUAUUGCUAUUUCUUCAAGUUGCGAUUUCUGCUAAGUGAAUAUGAUCGGACCCUUCCCCCUCUAUGCUAUACUCAACCCAAUCUAUUCACAAAUUCUUCAUGUGUGUUCUGAUUGAAACUCGUUCAAAGUCUUCACUAUGUCCUUGACAGCUGAAGAAAUUGCGAACGAAAUUUUUAAGCAAAUCUUAUCCAGAUUUUCGGUUUUACCGCUCAAACCAUUCCGUUUCCCACGAUACAUUAGUUUAUUCACCCAUGAUCUUACACGAUCUCGUCUGCACAGUACGUGGGUGACACAUGUUGCGUGAAGGAGAAAGGGCAGGGGCAUGUUCGUCCCAAAAUCUUCGGAAGAAGAGUUUUUACCGUGGCUAUAAAGACCCCUCUCCCUUCCUUACUUCAUUUACUCCACUCAGUCGCUGUCUCUCGCUCGAGCUCUCCUCAAACCCUAGCACCGCCGCUACUCCAUCGCCGUCGGUGGGGAAGAGAUUCACUGCCUCGACCUCGUCGCCGUCGUACUCGCGCCGGCUGCGGAAAUCUUCACUCCGCCGCCGCCGUAGCCGUCUCCCUCUGCCAAGUUAGGGCGUGGGAGAUCUAACGUGACGAACUUCACUACAGUUCAUCUAUGUUCAUCGUGUUCUUCAGUUCGGGUAAUUAAAAGUCACUUUUAUUACUCGCCUUGAUUCUCAAAUCUUUCUGAAAAUCUUCAAAGGUGUUUUAUUCUUCAAAUCUUCACAUAUGAACACCUCACACAUUGUAUGCUCUUGAUUUAUCUCUCUAAGCAUUCAUUUCUUCAAGAUUCCUCAAUUGUGCGGAUUUUCAAUCUGUACAACUCUGGAACAUAAGACAAAAUGCUUAGUGAAAUUCCUCAAGGCUCAACUGGUCAAAUUCCUCAAAACUUGUUCCUUUUGAAAAAUCUUCUGAGAACGCAUAUGACCUCUCCAAAUUCCUCGCACCUACACUCUAUUCACAGGUACUCAUGUCCGCUGCUGAAUCAUUAGGUUCUCAUCAACUUAACUCAUUUGCAGCGUUCCUCGAAGAAAAACUGCAUACUUCUUCAGAGUGUUCUAUUGUUGAAAUUCCUCAUCUGAAGAAAAUGGCAGAAGCCAAGAGACCACAGAAGGGAGGAAAGAAACCGGAGGUCAUGACUGCCUUUGAGAUCCCUGAUGAAAUUUACAAAGAUUACUGCACACCUGAUGAAGCCAAAUUUGGCAAAGAGACCAAAAAUCAGCACAAAGUGCGCAUCCAGAGGAUAGAACGAAGAUGGGCACGAGAAUGGAGGGAAUAUCGCUAUGUUACUCCCAAGUGCAUGAAGAAAUUCACCUUAAACCCUCCAUGCCCAAGAGCUCCUUUGGCACCUGGCCAAGUCGCUGAUCCCACUAGCGGUGCGCCUGAAGAAACUGAACCACAGUCCUCAGCUCCUCCUGCGCCAACACCAACUCAAAUUCUUCCUUCUGCUUAUGAAGUGAAGAAGACAAAGGCUGCAGAACGAGCUACAGUGAAGAAGAGGAAGGCAUCAGCUGUGUCAAAUUCUUCGGCUGCGAAGAAAAUGAAGCCAAUGACCAGCUCUCUUGAACAUCCCAUUGAUGCCGUUCCCAUUUCCUCCAUGUCGUCUAAGGAAAUUGUUCCUUAUGGAGAAGACUACAAGAUCCCAAGCGGAUCAGAUGAAGAAAAUCAAUCUGUUGCUACCUCAGAACAGGUUGAUGAAGAAAUUGAAGUGGAAACAUUCCCUUCAUCACCAGUUGUUUCCUCACCCAUGCCUCAAUUCACAGCUGAAGAGGCUGGUGUUGAGGAAAUUGAAAAAGAAGAUGAAGACGUGGAUAUUGGAUGAACUACACCAGUGAUGAACGAUGACUUUUGGGAAAGUCAGCAUCCCAAUACUCCCCUCUUCACUCCGAUUCAACAAAUUCCUCAGUCCCCGGCUACAACUGUUCAAUUGGGCUCUGAAGAAACUCAUCCCACAUCAUCCGUUAAUGAGGAAAUUCCAGCCACUAGCGCUGAAGAACCUGCUGCUGAUCCCCAAACUCCACAAGAAGAGGAACCAGAAAUUCCUCAGCCUGAAGCACCUGAGAUCGCGAUUCCUGAGGUUGUGCUGUAAGUCACUGACAUUCCUCUGCCCAAACCGAAGAAUCCGUUCUCUAGCAAGCAAAAAUUCAAGGCUGAAGACUUCUUUUCUGAGCAUGUGUUCUUCACUGCUUACAAUCCAUAUGACUCUGCUCGCAUGAGGAAAAGACGCUUCUGGACUGCUACUCAAGCCAACUUCUAUUCCUCAGUGCUCUUUGACAAGGACAAGAUCUUCGAUCAUGAGCCUAUUCCUCAUGUGGAUAUGGAAUCUCUGCCGUGCUUCGAGCCAGUACUCCGAGUUAUUCAUGAUGCAGGACUCCUAAAUUUCUGCACUGAUAUCUGUGAUUGGAAUGAAGAACUCAUUCUUCAGUUCUACGCCACUCUGCAUAUCACCAGAGAUGCUGAAGAUGUCAAUUCAUGGGUGCUGGAUUGGAUGACAGAAAACACUCACUACAAGGCACCAGUAACUGAAUUGCUUCGUGUCCUUCCUCCUGAUCCUCCCCAUGAAAGUGCACGUUGCAUCUACAAUGACCGAGAACUGACUGAUCAUUUUAUGCAAGUGCUCAUGAAGCCUUUGAAGCCAGGGCAGGCCCCUCGAACCAAAUUCCUCGUCAAGGAACUGCUGUAUGUGCCUCGGACUGUCUAUCGAAUCCUGACGAAGACAAUGAGUCCCAUCAAAGGCCACGACUCAAAUGAAGAAGAUGUCGUUGGCAUCAUGAAGAACAUGCUUUUCAACAUCAUUCAUGGUGUUCCCGUCAACUUCCAUGAUUUCUUCAUGAGGACUCUGGCUAAUGUUGCAAUGUCGCCUUUUGAGCUGAAGCCAUAUGCGCCUUGGAUUAUGAGAUUCAUAAGGGCACGAUCUUCACUGAAUUACAAGGCUGACACUCUAAAUCAUGGCAGCUACUUGCCGCCCAUUGAAGUCCUCAAGCGACCAGUUUCAUCAUUUGAUGAUAAAGGCAAGGCAGCGGCUGUGAUUGAUGAAGGCACUCGUCCAUUGGAUGGUCAAUUCCGUCUAGCUACAUCUUACUCCACCAAUGAUGAUUCUGCAACACAUGACACUGCCGCAAAUACCUCAGCCAAGCAAAAGCCUCAAGCAACAGCACCCAGGGUGAUGACUGGCCGUGAGUUACUCCUCAGUCUUCAUCAGAAGGUUGAACGCAAUCAGAAAUGGGUGAAGCGUCAAUUUGCUGCAAUUCUUCACAACAUGACCUCAACACAUAAUGCAGUGAAGAAAAAUCAGUACUACCUUCAUGAAACCCUCAACCGCACCUGGGCUAUUCUCAAUCAUGUAUAUUCCGCGGAAGAAUUGAAGACUAUGGGUCUCCAGGAAGCAUUUGACUGGUCUGCACCACCUCCCAAGAAAUUCAAGAGAGUCAAAGUUCCUGAUCUGGUGGCCAGUUCUUAUUCUUCAUCGCGUGAAACUGAUGAACAUGAAGAUUUGGACGACACUGCGGCAGGCCCUACUUCAACAACCAACCCCGACAACGCUGGCGCUCCUCCAUCAACUUGAAAAUCUUCAGGGGCGUUAGUCCUCAGUUUCGAUACUUUUGGUCAUUUGAUGACAAAGGGGGAGAAAUCUGAAUUAGUCUUCAAGCGGGUUUAUAUUAUGGGCGUUUUUAUUAAGUUACAACUCUCGUUCUUCCGAAACUUUUAUUGGAUCGAGUUGUAAUCUUAAAUCCAAUGGUGCCUUGAUACUUUUGGUCGUGCUCUGAUGCUUUUGAUGCACUGAGCUCUGAAACUUUUGAUGUGCUAUUCCGCAUGCUUAUUCCUUGUCAAUAUUAUUGCACGCAUGCUGAAUCUCAUCAGGAACCAUAUUUCAUCAUGCAUUUCAAAUUCUUCAUAUUAUAUAUCAAAUGCGUGUAUGAAAUACAAGAUAUAGAGGGAGAUCUCCAUGAUUCAGUUCUUCAAAUGUGCAAUGCCUCAAAAGCAAAUUCCUCACUAUGCACAUAUUCAGGGGGAGUUCUUCUAUAUCUUGCAAUCAAAUUCCUCAAUAUCAGUAUUUACACUUCAUAUGUUUAUCCCCGUUGAAAACUUAACCUAUGUUGUCAUCAAUCACCAAAAAGGGGGAGAUUGUAAGUGCAUCUAGUGCCCCUUAGUGAUUUUGGUGUAUUGAAGACUUAUAGGUUAAGUAACUGAUACGUUUGUGAGUGUACACAGGUCUAUAAGUCUAUGAGGAGUUUGAUAUUUACAGAGAAAGUCGACCCCUAAAAAUGAAGUUCUUCAACUGAAGACUUUGAUAUUCUGAAGACGUUCUGAAGACUUUGAAAGUGAAGAAAUUGGUGUGACCUUGAAGACUUGAUAUUCAUUCGAGGAAUAUGAAGCGUGAAGACUUUUGUAGGAAACACCGUACUGUUAACGGGGGUCGAGGAAAUUGAAGCGUGAAGACUUGAUAUUCAUUCUCUUUCUUGAGUCAUAGGAAACACCGUACUGUUAAAGGGGGUCGAGGAAAUACUAAGGAAAAAUUUCCAUGUGAUGCUCAACUCAAAAUCCUACACCUACCAAUCCCUUCGAGUGAAGCCAUUGGAAAUCUCAUACAGUCCAGUCAAAUUCGUUAGUGACAGAGACGCAGUUCUUCUGUUCACUGAGGACUUUGCUCUGACUGAGGAGUUAGGAAUUCGCCAGUGCGAAUUGCCUACACAGUGAGGAACAUGAUAGCCCUGAGGAAUUUGAGAGUCAAAAUUCCGACCGUUGCUGUGGUGCGCGCCGGCUGUCCCAAAAUAUCUUAUCCACCUAAUGGUCAUAUCAUUGAAGGGCAUUUAUGUCUUAUCAUGUUGGGCUGCUCCCUAGGCUAUAAAUAGCCGCCCCCUACAACCACUAGCUGGUUGGCUGCUCCGAGAGAACUUGACACUUGUCAUUUGAGAGCAACCCAUCCUCCGAGGACUUUGAGCGAAAAUCAUCAAGUGAGGAAAAUCCCAAAACCAAACCCCCACAAACCCAAAGUGAUUGGGCAUCACUAAAGAAAUUGAUCCUGCGUGGAUCCGACGCUUGUUACCUUUGAAGACUGUGCUUCUUCCAGACGGUUAGGCGUCAUGGUCUAGAGCAUCCAAGAGGAAUUGUGGAUCGUCGAGUGACCAAGUCUGUGAAGGUUUGGAAGUCACCUGAAGACUUACCACGAGUGAUUGGACGAGGCCUGCGUGGUCUUAGUUCAAGGAGAAUACGGUGAGGACUGGGUGUCCUGAGUUGCGGCUCAGAGACUGGGUGUCCGGGACUGUGUGUCCUCGAGUUUAAAUACUCAGCCGCUCCAACCAAACGUACAACUGAGACAGCAGUUGGAACUGGUUUACCAAAUCAUUGUCUUCACCAACUGACUGUUUCUAUUUCCUCAACUCUUUCAUUUCCUCAUUACUGUGUUGAAUGUUGUUCAUAUCUAUGCUUGAAGACUUUGACUGAAGACUUUCACAAAUUCCUCAGUUCAAUUUCUUCAGUCUGUUUGUCUUCAUCUUGCUAUCCUAUGUUUACGCUUUCCGUACUCUGUGUUAGUCCUUAUUUCAUCAUGCUGACUAUGUUUGUAUCCUGUUAUGUUUACUUCUGAGUACAUAUUCCGCUGCAAGUAGUUCUUCGCUAAGGAAUUUCCUCAUCAGCAAAUUCCUCAGUGAAGAAUUCAUAAAAAUCUCCUAUUCACCCCCCUCUAGUCGAUAUAACGCACUUUCAGGGGUUAUCUUCUGCCGCGGCCCGUUGGUCCUUGUUAUCGCUCUCCUUUGGGGUAUCCACCAUGUAUAUGUCAUGUGACGAGGUGGUCCUCCCGUGCCUUAUAGGCUCUGCUUCUUGUUCAUCUCCGGUAUCGUCGUCUAUUCCGUCGAUGUCUUCGGAGUCAUAGUCUAGCAUGUCGGUUAGAUCGUCGACAGUGGCUACAAAGUGGGUGGUGGGUGGACUCUGAAUUUCUUCGUCGUCCGUACCCCAACCAUCCUGGCCAUAGUCCGGCCAAGACUCUCCGGAUAACGAGAGAUGCUUUAGCGAAUUUAGGAUGUCGCCAAAGGGCGAGUGUUGGAAGAUGUCCGCUGCGGUGAAUUCCAUAACCGGCGCCCAAUCCAAAUCGAUCGGUAGGGGCGCGGAAGGUUCGGAGUCCGGCAAGGAGUCCGGCGCCUCGGAAUCACGAGUUUCGCAGGGGACAAGAUUAGUGUUCGGCUCCAUCGCCGUGGAUGUUGAAGCCCCCAGGGCGGCGUCUAUCCACCGGCCCUCGAUCUGGGCGAUCGGCUCCGGACUAAUGGCCGAAGCGGAUUCGUGUGCGGCCACCAAGGCACUGUUCGGCGACAGAGCUAGAUCAUGCCCGUCGUCACAGUGCGGCGCGCUUGGAUGUGGCUCGAGUCCGUCCAAGAUCAAGUCUCCGCGGACAUCGGCCGCGAAGUUUAGGCUUCCGAAUCUGACCUGACGGCCAGGGGCGUAGCUUUCGAUCUGCUCCAGAUGGCCAAGUGAAUUAGCCCGCAGUGCGAAGCCACCGAAUACGAAGAUCUGCCCGGGGAGAAAAGUCUCACCCUGGACAGCGUUGUUGGUUGAAGAUGCCAUCGGGCCUAUCGGUGAUGGCACAGAGGAACUCUCAAUGAAAGCACCAAUGUCGGUGUCAAAACCGGCGGAUCUCAGGUAGGGGGUCCCGAACUGUGCGUCUAGGCGGAUGGUAACAGGAGACGAGGGACACGAUGUUUUUACCCAGGUUCGGGCCCUCUUGAUGGAGGUAAAACCCUACGUCCUGCUUGAUUAAUAUUGAUGAUAUGGGUAGUACAAGAGUGGAUCUACCACGAGAUCAAGGAGGCUAAACCCUAGAAGCUAGC